CAGGAGGAUCCACUAUCCUUAGCCACAGGAACAGCUCUUCGGACAAAAUUCUUGGAGCAUGGGGGAGCCAAAGACCCUGCUGAUUUAUUGACUGAUCUAGUUGGGGAUGGAAUUCUCCAGUCCCGUGAUGGAGGGAUAGUCCCUGACCUCACUAGCCUUUGUGAUGAACUGAAGCUUGAGGAGUGUGGGCAAGAGCAUGUCGUCUUGUAACCAAUUGAAACAGGUGGGAAAAAGAGAAUAACAGGAUUAGGGAGAAAGAACAGCCACUUCUGUUGGGAGAAAGCAUAAAUACAAAUCUGAAGUGAGGAGCAGUUGCAGCUCGGAAAGAAGCAGGAACUGCAGAAGGUCUGCUAACAUCUUGAGUAAAUUUUUAGAAUGUAGUUUUAUUGGUAUGCUAGAUGGUAUUGGGAACAGAGCAGACCACUGCUGUCUGCAUUUUGGGGAAAAUAUAUUACUUGGGAUUUAUUUGUUUAUUUUAUUUAUUGGUAAGCAGGUCUGAUUUUGCCAAUUGGAAACUUGUAAAGCUGAUCCUAAGUCACUGAAAAACAAAGAAGAGCUCAUUUCUAUUCUUUAUUAUGAUGGAAACAGAUCUCAUUCUCAUUGUUGUAGGGAUUUGAUUGAGGCAAAUGUAGUUCUUAGCACAUGAGAAGAGGCCAUUAAUGUGAUUUCUUAACCUGUCAUGCACUAGAAAAAAAUCAGAAGUUCUGUUUACACCGAAGUGAAAUCUCAUCUAAUUUAUCUAAGUAUCUCUUCUCAACCUAAAUAUUCAAGUUGACAACAUUAUCAUCACCAGGAUCCCUAGAAGUAGGUCCCAAAAUAAUGUAUGAUCACAUUCAAAGUUGCAUAGACUACUUCAGUAUUGCUUUUGGAAGAAUAACCUAGGAAAAUUCCAAUAUUAGAUUUUGAAUCAAACUAUCUUCAAGGAUGCAACACUUCCAAAAGCCUUAAAAUAUUUGACACUCACUUCCUUACGAUAUCAUAACUCAUAGGAAAUCUUUGGGUUUUUUUUUUUUUUUUUUAAUCUUAUAAAUAGCAAAUGUAUUAUAUGUUGAUGUAUGAUCAAACAUAAUUUAACUUUACCCUAAAAAUAACUCAUAAAUAGGAAAUAAUAAUAAAAAAAAUGGUGAAUUAUUUAUUCUGCUUCAUUAUAAUAUAUUUUUUUAAUAAAAAUUAUUUAGAGUAUGUUAGGUUCUCAAAAAAUGUUAGAAAAAGAGAAAAAAUAUUAUGGAAAAUCAUUAUCAUCAAGGAAAGUGAUAAAAAAGAAAAGAAAAAGAAUAGUGUUUAGGAAAAUUUUAAAUAAUUUCCUAAAAAAAAUUAAGAAAAGCUUGAGAAAGUAUAUUUGUUAACAAAUUAAAUUUAUUUCUCUCAAAAUGUUUAUGGAUUUGUUCACUAUUUUUUUUCUAUUUUUUUAGCCAAAUAUUUUUAAAUAAUAUAUAAUAAAAAAAUCAAUAAACAUAAAUUAUAGAGUAAAAAUUUCAAUAAAAAAAAAAAUCUUAUCUAUUUUUUUAUUAACCUUUAAUAAAAUAAUAGUUCUUAUAAGUAAAUUAAAUAGAGUUUAUUGUGAAUUUUUAAUUUUAUUAUAUUAAAUACCUAAAAAGAAGACCUAUAUUUAUAUAUUUUCACUUGUAAAUGAUUAGCCUUUUUUUUUUCACCCGGAGGCUUGACUACCCUCACUCACAUUCGGCCCCAUGCUAUAUGGAUCGGGUGUGAUCUUGGGAACAAGCCUAUAGUGCAUUAUUUCUACUACUUAAAGCCCAUUGAGUGGAACUGUAAGACAAUUGUGAAGAGAAAAACAAGUGGAAGGAUGUCUUGAUUAAGUUCAACAGGAGCUACAUGGCUUGAAUUAUAGCUAAAAAUGGAUUGAGGAAACACAGUCUACUAUUCAUUAUAUUGCAAUUAUUUACUACUACAAACACCAUCCCAAAAAUUUGUUGAUGAUCAUGUCAUCCAUGAAUUUAAAAUAAGCAUAGUUCCAAGCUCUGUUGACUGCUAAUGGCCCCAAAACCGCCCAAAAACCCACAGCGAAUCCCAAUGGCAUGCUGGCAUAGAACCACUUAAUAUCAAUCCAUCCACUGUCGUCUUCAUCAGUCUGGUCUUGUGUCCCUUCUGCUAUAACUUCUUCACUGCGAGUAUUGGUAAGUGGAGGCCCGUAGAGCUCAUGAUUGCCAAUGAAGCUAAGAGGACUGAAGCCUUGGAUUUGGGUGCCUGAUGGGAUUUUGCCUGACAAGUUGUUGAAAGACAAGUUUAAGUAACCCAAAAAUGAUAUACUUGAGAUACUUUGAGGAAUAACGCCAGAAAGCUUGUUCAUGGAGAGAUCGAGAGACUCCAAUGAUUUCAUGGAUCCAAUCUCUAUUGGAAUUUUUCCUUCAAGAUGAUUUUCAGAGAGGUUCAAGAAUAUCAAACUGUGGAGGGCUGUUACUUCUUCAGGAAUCUCACCAGAUAACUUAUUGCUUGAGAGGUCUAUGCCAGUUAGGAGGCCAAGAGUAUAGUUAUACUCAUUCCUUAUCCUUUUUACAGCCAACCAUGCUGUGGGUAUGAAUGUUUCAAAUGUAAUGAAUGUCCCAUUCCUUCCCUAAUACGAGAAGGUGUUAGUUGAACUUGGUUGUUUGAUCAUGGCACUAAAGUUACCAAAGCAUCUUGGUAUAUUGCCCGAGAGACCAUUGUUUCCAAGGUCUAAGAUUUGAAGAUAAUCAAGGUGGCAGAGUUCUAAAGGAAUGCUGCCAUUGAAGUUAUUCGAACUAAGGGCUAGAACCACAAGAUUGUAUAGAUUGUUUCCUAUCCACAUUGGCACACUUCCGGAGAAUCCAUUCUCACUAAGGUCUAUAAUCAUUAAAUGGGUACAAUUUUCCAAAGAUGGAAACAUUCCCGAGAGGUAGUUGUUGUGCAAGUGCAAAGAGAAGAGGUGCCUUAGAGAACCCAUGGAGGUAGGUACAGGUCCUGUAAACUCAUUGUCCCCCAAAUUUAACAAUGCCAAUCCUUUCCAAUUCUCCCAACAGUCAGGAAGUUCUCCUGACAGAAGGUUUCCUGAUAGAUCCAAUAUUACCAAUGAAUUUUCUCCAUCAAUUCUUCUGCAUAUCAAGGGUGAAAGCGAUCCUUUCAAUAAAUUAUUGGAAAGAUCUACUUCAAUGGCACUCGAAGACAAUUGGGGUGGUGGGCCUGUCAAACUGUUUGAACCAAGAUAGAUAUACUCUCCAAAGAGUAAACUUGGAAUUCUGCCUUUAAGUUGGUUGUGAGAUAGAUCUAUAACACACGUACUGAAUGGGGGGAAUGCGUCCAUGCCAUCACACAUGUUCCCAAACCAAUCAGGGAUGAAAUCUGAUAUUCCUGUGUUGGAUAUAUUUACAUAUUCCAAAUUCUUCUGUGUUUGAAGCCAUGCAGGAAAUUGAGGCCCUAGAUGCCAAGAUUUCAAGUUUACUGACAUGAGUUGAAAGGGAGGAAUCCAGUUGGAGCCUACUUGCAAAGUCAACCUGUUGGAAUAUGCCCUUAAAUCAUGUAGUUUUGUUAGAGUGGCAAAAUGCUAUUCAGUGACAACACCCUCCAAAGAAUUUCCAGAAAUAUCCAAAUUACUUAGGGAUGACAAUCCUCCUAUUGACAUAGGAAGUGGACCAUAGAAUGAAUUUCCAGGAAUGGAAAGAUGAAAUAAACUUUUACAUUGGCCAAGUUGAUCUGGCAAAUGACCUGAAAAUUUGUUCCAUCCUAAAUAUAAAAACUCUAGACUUCUCCCAUGUUUGUUAUAUGACGAAUUUAGAAGUUGGAAAUUGCAAAGACUUCCCAAGGAUGGAAGUAUUUCUCCUUCGAGGGCAUCAUCUGAUAAGUCUAAUCUUGUGAGUGAAGUAAGGUUUUCAAUCCCACUUGGUACUUUACCUUGAAAAUUGUUGACUGAAAGAUCAAGUCUUUCAAUGGCUGGUAUAUGAUACAGCCAAAGUGGAAUGUCGGAAGUAAAUCCAUUAAAAGAGAGAUCUAGGAAUCUGAGAGAAGUCAUGUUGCCAAGACCUCUGGGAAUUGGACCAUGAAAUUUGUUGUGACUUAGAUCAAGAGUAACAAGGGAAGACAGAUCUGAAAACCAAUCAAACUUUGAAGAAAUGAGAUUGUUACAUGAAAGAUCAAGGAUUGUAAGAGAAGAAAAGUUAACAUGUGGAAGAGAACCGAUGGUAUAAAGUUCACAAGAAUGCAAGUGCAGCACAGACAAAGAAUGGAGCUUAUUCAGUACCUGUGACCAAUUAGAUGCCUCGCUUAGAGAAACUCCACUUAUAUCAAGGAAUUUUAGCGACGUGAGGCCAGAAAUCCAUUCAAUAUCCUUGAUACUCGAAUAAGAACUAGACGGUCCUCCACACUGGUCACUUCUACGUCCACCGCUAAUGUCAAGAUAAUGCAAGCGGGAUAGAUUUCCCAGCUGAUGGGGAAUGGGACCGUAAAAACCUGCACGAGAGAGAUUAAGAAUAUCGAGGUGAACAAGUGAGGCGCAGUAUUGCAGAUCUAAGGGAGGUGCGCUACCAAUUAGAAGGAAAAGACUGCUAAGUGAGAAUCUUUCUCUUCUCGACUUUCUUUGUGUUCUAAAAAGACCACCAAAAACAACCAAAACUUUUGCAUUUCCUCUUAUUUCUUUAGAGCAUUAAAAUAAAUUGAUAUUGUUGUGUUUGCAGCUCUUUAAGAUCAGUGAAGAAGUGGUAGUCGAUGCUACAGAUAAAGGAAACAUUGCCCGCCUAAUCAACCACUCAGUAAGUCAUUCUUAUCCACAUCAGACAGUUUUUUGUUUAGGUUUGUGUCCCUCCUCCAAUAGUUCCAACUACCUGAACAUUUCCUGGCAGCUUGACAGUUGAAAAAAUAAUAGGACAAUGGAUUCCCCAGACUUAAACUGAAUCUGCCUUGCUGCUUUAAUUUAUAUGCAUUUUUCAUUAAUCCAAAUUAUGUUUCUAUGAAACAGUGUGCCCCCAAUUGCUAUGCGAGGAUCAUGAGUGUGGGUGACGAUGAGAGCAGGAUUGUUCUUAUUGCUAAGACCAAUGUCGCUGCUGGCGAUGAGCUAACGUAUGCAUCUAUCUCUGUCUCUGUCUCUCUCAGUGCAUGUGCUUUGUGUCAUUUAAUGGAAUUUUCAUAGACAAUUAAACAAGAGAAAAAUGGUAUGUUUUGAAGUCCUUUUGCAGAUAUUUUGUUUGAACACAAAAAGCAAAUUUGAAGCUUGGGUGAGAUUUUUCUCAAUUCUUGUUUAGAUUUCAAACAAAUUCAGACUUCAGAUAAACAUGUUUAGAGUGCUGUGAUAAACCAUGUAUGGGGUUGUGUUUGCAGGUAUGACUACUUGUUUGAUCCCGAUGAGCCGGACGAAUGCAAGGUCCCCUGUUUGUGUAAAGCUCCAAACUGCAGAAAAUUCAUGAAUUAGGUAUUUACAUUCACACACACAACACUCCAUUGUUUCUCCGCAAGGAACGCUAACCUCCUAUCAUCGCCUUCUCCGAAGGAGUUAAUACACAGUCGUCUUGCUAAUUCUGCUUUCUUCUUUCUUCUUUCUUUUUCCUCUCUACAAUGAGCCUGUAUUUUAUCUUUCAUUUUGUUCUCAUAAUCUUUCAAGCUUUAAUAAAAGCUAUAGAUUGGUCUCCAGGCAUUUGUGUAUAUAUUGAUUUCAACAUCCUUCUCAAUAUAUUAACCUCAUUUUCUAUUUUCUUAGAUUUUCUUCCCAGCUUUUUGAGAUUGGGCAUUUGCAUGGACCAAGCACUGGGUCAGCCUUCCUGGGUUGAAUAUUGGGCUGGGCCUUGGACAAAUCAGAUUCAUGUUUGGGCUUUAAGAGGCAUUAUAUUGUCUAACUUGCACGGCUAUGUGCAUACAGACCAUUAUGCAUGCAUCAAACAGGAAAGACAUGAAUAGCCAUGGAUGAAUAUGUAGUUCAAUUAAAGAUUUUCUUUCUUUUUCCCAGGAAAAUAAAAUUGACUAAUUGAAGGGAAAAAAAAAAAAAAACUGAAAACAUGGAAAUUAAAAACUGAUUAUUCAUCAAGAAUCAAUCAACAUGCCAAAGGUCUCCAAGACAAAGGUCUCCAAGAGCAUGAAUGCCAGCCCCGCUACAAAAACUGAUACUUCAACAAAUCUCCCAAGGAAAUUUAUGCUUACAUUAUAUUAUUUUAAUUUUAUCAAAAAUAAUUUUCGUAAAUAAAAGUAGUUUUUAUUCCCACACAGACCAUGGUCUCCUUCCCCACCUCCACAGUCGGAGCCACUCCGCCGGAGGAGCCACCGCCUUCUGCUUCUCAUUAUUAUUAUUAUUCACUUUGUUCUUCUUCUUGGGUUUCUUGUCUUCAUCACUCGGGUUGAACUCUUCAUCGUUCCUCGGCUCGAAUUCUUGAUCAUCGCUGAUUUCGAUCGCCAACCUCUGUCUCCUCCUAUUCGAUCUCCAGGGUUUCUCUUCUCCAAUCUGCGUGCUGCUUGGUUUCCUCUCAGAAUUGCUUUUACCCAUCUCCUUCAAAUCUGCGAGAAUAUCUCCCUCAUUCAAUGUCCAUGGCUCCUCUUCUUCAUCAUCCCUGAUUCCACGCUGAUCCAAACUCUGGUGUUCCUGUUCUUCAUGGCGAACUCCGAUCUGCUCCAUCCUGAGUUUCCACCGCAUGUCCAACUCAUCAUGUAAGAAUUCCAUAAGAGUUUCGAGAUCAUUUUUCCUCCGCCUCCGAGGCUCUUCUUCUUCCUCUAUGCUCAGUUUAUCAGGUUCUUCUCCGUCGUAUUUCUCCGGUACUUUGUCUUCUUCACCCCUUUCUUCAAUCACUAACGUUCCAUUCCUCCUAUUCAUGUUUCUGGGUUGUUGAUGAUCUUCCUCCAGAAAAGGCCUCUUGAGAGCUUUCUCUCUCAUUAGGCGCUCUCUCUUUUCCUUGCCUUCAAAGCACUCCAUGCAGUCUGGGUAAUCCUCCUCCGUAUCUUCACGUGUAACAAAUCUUCACAAAAGCAAAGAAUUAUUUGAGACCAGUGAAGCUUUUUUCCACUUCACGUGGGCUUCCAUAUUUAUCCUAAGCAAUUAGAAUCCUUCCCUUCUACUAGCUGUUGGAGAUAUUUGAUUGAAAAAUGACAUAUCUAAUUAUUAAUAAAGAAAAUAAAUAAUUUCAACAUUUAUCCUUAAUUUAAUUAUUAAUAUUUAUGUAUUUAUUAUUAGUUUGAAUUAUAGUAGGAGAUAGAGUUCAGAUUAUAAUAGAACUCAAAUCUAUUUGUAAAUAAAUAUUUAUCAUCAUUAAUGAAAAAAUCAUUGAGCCCAAUUGAACCUAAAAUAUAACUAAAAAAAAAUCAACAUUUGAGAUGGGAUAAAUAUAAAAAGUUCUCGUAUCCUAUUUUUUGAGACGAGUCCUACACCCUCAACAUUAUCAUCUUUGAGUAGGUUUAUGCAUGAUUUUUUUUUUUAAUAAAUAAACAGGAGUUUAAUUUAGAGUUAAAUUUUUACUUGGAAGUGCUUUAAGAAGGUGCUAUACUACAAAAAAUUUUUAUUUUAAUAUUUUUUAACUAGUUUGAGAAAAGGAAAAAAUGUUGAAGUCCAUUACAAGCAAUUAUUUUAUAAUAUCCCUAAAUAAUUUAUUUCAUAUUUUCAUAUCCCUAAAAUCCACCUAUUUAAGCUUAUAAUUCCCCUCAAUUAAAUUUUACCUUUUUAAACUUUUAUAUUAUUAAAUAAAUUACUUAAAUUUAAUUUAUCAUUUAAAGUUGAAAAAUAUAUCAACAUUGCCAUUUAUUAUUUUUGUUAAUUCAACUUACAAAUAUUAAAUUCUUAACUCUACAUAAUCACAUUAAUUUAAUCUUUAUUAAAUGAAGUUAAAUCCACCUAAAUUGUAAAUUCCAUUGAGAAACCGGGCAUAAAAAGAAAAAGGAAAAAAAUUAACAUUGACACACACUUUAAUAAAGAGCCUGUUUGAUAGUGAUUUUAGAAAAUACUGUUAGAUUAAUUUUUGUAAUUAAUCUAUAAUUUGGGCCACACAUGUAAAUAAUUAAAAUGUGUGUGCUAUCAUUUAAUUAAGCCUAAAUAUAGUGAUCUAAUUAAUAAUUGAUUAAUUGGCUUAAGGGUAUAAUUGUCAUGAGAUUAUUGUGUAGAUACCAUUAGACAAUUAUUAUUUCUAUGAGGGGCAGAAAUAUAAUUGUGAUAAAAUUAAAACUGCCCUAGCAGUUUAUAAAUAGGGUUAUGGUCCCCAUUCUACGACUACGCAUUCCAAUUUCUGAAAAUCCUCUCAGAGAGAAAUUGACACAGAAUCUAGUGGCUAGAAUUGGAAGACCAUCUCAAAGGGUUUUUUUUUCUAUAAGGUUUCUCCUUCAAUGGAUUCAGGUAUGCUUCCGCUAUUAUUUUUCUACUCAUUGUUUUUAAUCAGGAGAUUCCAGUGUAUAUAUAAAUUAAGGUAUUCACCUUGUUAAAUAUUUCAGUACAUAUGUAGUUAGGGUAUUCACCCUGUUAAAUAUUCCAGUACAUAUGUAGUUAGGGUAUUCACCCUAUUAAAUAUUCCAGUACAUAUGUAGUUAGGGUAUUCACCCAGUUAACUAUUCCAGUAUAUAUGAAAUCAGGGUAUUCAUCUUGGUUGAAUACUAACAAGUGGUAUCAGAGCCUACUCCUUGAUUAAUUCUUUGAGUUAUUAUUUUAAUAUAUAUAUGUCAAUGGAUUAAGAUUUAUGAAAUAUUGAGUUGAUAAAUUUUUUUUAUUAUUAUUACUAUUAUUAUUAUUAUUAUUAUUAUUAUUGUUAUUUAAUAGCAUUUUAUGAUAUUAAUAUUUAAGUUAUUGAUCUAGCAUUUUUAAAUAGGCUAAUUAAAGCGGAAAAUCACCAAAGUGACAUCUUCCGUGUAGAUUAGUCUGUUCGGGGUGUUAGAUAUUUGUGUGUAUGUGAUUCAUGCGGGUAUUGACUGGCCCAAAGGAAAGUUAAUAUUUGGUCAAAUUGCAUACAUACUUGUGGUGAUAAAUAUGUGAUGAUUAUAAAGGUAACUUAAUGUGAAUAAUAAAUCAAUCCAAAGAUAGAUUUAUUAUUUGACAUAACUUAUCAUCAAUGUUUGAUCACUACAACAAGAGUACCACUUACAAUUAAUAUUACUGUCCAAAGACUUGAUAUUAAUGUUGUGCUAGGUAUCUUGAAAUGUCAUAAUUUGCUUUUAAAUUUAAAGAUUAUGUGUUUAAUUGCUUAUUUUAUGUGAGCAUGAUGGUUUAUUUGAUUCAUUUUAUUUUGUUCUCGAUUCAGCUUUUAUAUCAACCACUUCUAUAUCUGCCAACAUCAAUAAUGUCCCUAUGUUAAAUGGGACUAAUUUUAAGGACUGGAAAGAGAAUAUGAUGAUUCUCUUAGGCUGCAUGGAUAUAGACUUAGCCUUGAGAAUGCCCAAACCCGAUGAACUCAAUGAGCAAAGUACUCAAGAGGAUGAUGUUUAUUGGGGUAAGUGGGAACGUUCAAAUAGGCUAAGUCUUAUGAUCAUGAAGCGCGGCAUUCCAGAAGCUUUCAGGGGUGCGGUAACCGAUGAGGUUACUAAUGCCAGUGACUUCCUUGCGGAAAUUCAGAAGCGUUUUGCCAAAAACGAUAAGGCUGAAACGAGCACGCUUUUAGCAAGCUUGAUUUCAAUGAAGUAUAAAGGCAAGGGUAAUGUUCGGGAGUACAUCAUGGAGAUGUCUCAUCUUGCUUCAAAACUUAAGGCUUUGAAACUCGAGUUAUCUGAUGAUUUACUCGUGCAUUUGGUUCUCAUCUCUCUUCCUGCACAAUUUAAUCAAUUCAAGGUCAGUUAUAACUGUCAAAAGGAUAAAUGGACUCUUAAUGAGCUCAUUUCAUUCUGUGUGCAAGAGGAAGAGAGAUUGAAGCAAGACAAGACCGAAAGUGCUCAUCUGGCUAGCACUUCGAAGGAUAAGGGCAAACGAAAGAAUAAGGAUAAUAAGGUUGCUGCUUCUAAUGGUCCAGAACAAAAGAAACAGAAAGUUGAGGUAACAUGUUUCUUCUGUAAUAAGCCUGGACAUACUAAGAAGGAAUGUACCAAGUAUGCUGCUUGGCGUGUUAAGAAAGGUAUGUUUCUUACUUUGGUAUGUUCUGAAGUUAAUUUAGCUUCAGUAUCUAGAAACACAUGGUGGUUAGAUUCUGGUGCUACUACUCACAUUUGUGUUUCUAUGCAGGGUUGCCUGAGUUACCGAAAACCAAGUGAUGCUGAAAGAUGCAUCUAUGUCGGAGACGGUCAGUCGGUAGAAGUAGAGGCAAUAGGGCACUUUAGAUUAUUAUUGAAAUCUGGUUAUUUUUUGGAUUUAAUAGAUACUUUUAUUGUACCGUCUUUCAGACGGAAUUUCAUUUCAGUUUCUGUUUUGGACAAAUCAGGUUAUUGUUGUUCAUUUGGAAACAAUAAAUUUACAUUAUCUAUUAAUUCAAAUGCUGUAGGAACCGGUUUACUUAAUGUUUAUGAUAAUCUAUAUUUGUUGGAAACUGUUCCGUCCUAUAAUGAAACCUUGCAUGUGGAAUCACGAGGUACAAAACGUAAAUUGAAUAAAGAUAAUUUGGCCUCAUUGUGGCAAAAACGCCUAGGUCAUAUCUCUAAAUCUAGAGUUGAGCGACUUGUGUCCGAUGGGAUUUUGGAUUCACUUAACUUUUCAGAUUUUGAUAUUUGUGUUGAGUGUAUUAAAGGAAAACAGACCAAAACAAAGAAAUUAGGUGCCAAUAGAGCUACAGACGUCUUAGAAUUAAUUCAUACAGAUAUCUGUGGACCAUACCCUACGGCAUCUUGGAAUGGUCAACAGUACUUUAUAACAUUCAUAGACGACUACUCAAGAUAUGGCUACCUAUUUCUUAUACAUGAGAAAUCACAAUCAUUGGACGUGUUCAAAACAUUUAAAGCAGAAGUUGAGUUACAACUCAACAAAAGAAUAAAGAGCGUCAGAUCUGACCGUGGUGGUGAAUACUAUGGUAGAUAUGACGGAUUAGGUGAACAACAUCCAGGACCAUUUGCUAAAUACCUAGAGGAAUGUGGGAUCGUCCCUCAAUACACCAUGCCAGGAUCACCUAGCAUGAAUGGUGUAGCAGAAAGACGAAACCGAACCCUUAAGGACAUGGUAAGGAGUAUGAUUAGUCAUUCUACUUUACCCGAAAAACUCUGGGGUGAAGCACUCAAAACGGCAGCUUAUAUCCUCAAUCGGGUGCCAACUAAAGCGGCUGCUAAAACGCCUUAUGAGCUUUGGACGGGUCGAAAGCCCAGUUUAAAGCAUUUUCAUAUUUGGGGAUGUCCAGCUGAAGCGAGACCUUAUAAGUCUCAUGAAAAGAAAUUGGACUCUAAAACAGUUAGCAGCUACUUUAUUGGCUAUGCAGAGCGAUCAAGGGGUUUUAAAUUUUAUGAUCCUGCUAUUAGGUCAAUUUUUGAGACGGGAACUGCAACAUUUUUUUGAGGAUGUUGAGUUUGGGGGGAGAAAUCAGGCUAGGAAUAUUGUCUUUGAGGAGGAAGAGGGAUCUACUAUUGCUUUUGAUAAUGUACAGGUUUCACUACCUAUCAUUGAUCAAGAAGUAAAUUUGGAUCCUCAACCAACAGACAAUAUUGUUCAACCCUUAAUUGCAAAUGAGGACAUUGCUCCUGAAGAACAAACUCAACAACCUCAAGAAAAUAUGCCAUUAAGGAGAUCCACUAGAGAGAGGAGAAAUGCAAUUUCGGACGAUUAUAUCGUAUAUCUCCAGGAACGUGAGGUAGAAAGUGGAAUGAUGGAAGAUGAUCCAAUCAACUUCCAGCAAGCCAUGAAAAGUUCCAACUCUCAGAAAUGGAUUGAAGCCAUGAAUGAAGAGUACAAAUCUAUGCAAGACAAUAAAGUUUGGGAACUUGUCCCAUUACCAGUUGGUACGAAACCCAUUGGUUGUAAAUGGAUAUUUAAAACCAAGCGGGAUUGAAAUGGUAAUGUAGAAAGAUAUAAAGCACGUCUUGUAGCUAAAGGCUUUACUCAAAAAGAAGGAAUUGACUUCAAAGAGACCUUCUCUCCAGUUUCUACGAAGGACUCUUUCAGGAUAAUCAUGGCACUAGUUGCACAUUAUGAUCUUGAGUUACAUCAAAUGGAUGUUAAAACAGCGUUUCUCAAUGGUGACAUUGAUGAAACAAUUUAUAUGGUACAACCAGAAAAUUUUGUGUCCGAAGACUCAAAGAAUAUGGUUUGUAAAUUGACUAAAUCCAUUUAUGGGCUCAAGCAAGCUUCUCGUCAGUGGUACUUCAAGUUUCAUCAAAUUAUUGUCUCAUAUGGUUUUGAGGCAAAUCUUAUGGAUGAAUGUGUGUAUCACAAAUUCAGUGAGAGUAAGUAUAUUUUCCUGGUUUUAUAUGUCGAUGACAUAUUGCUAGCCACAAAUGAUAUUAGCAUAUUGCACGACACCAAGAGAUUUUUAUCAAAACAUUUUGAGAUGAAAGAUCUUGGUGAUGCCUCCUUUGUCUUAGGAAUCCAGAUACACCGAGAUCGUUCUAGGGGUAUUUUAGGAUUGUCACAAAGGACCUAUAUUGAUAAAGUCCUCCAAAGGUAUGGCAUGCAAAAUAGCAAACCAGGUGAUACCCCUGUCGCUAAAGGAGACAAAUUCAGUCUUAAUCAAUGCCCUAAAAAUAGUUUAGAAAGUCAAGAAAUGCAGAAGAUUCCUUACGCUUCGGCUGUGGGGAGUCUAAUGUAUGCUCAGGUAUGUACACGUCCGGAUAUUGCGUACAUUGUUGGCAUGUUAGGCAGAUAUCUAAGUAACCCUGGAAUGGAUCAUUGGAGAGCAGCCAAGAGGGUUAUGAGAUAUUUACAGAGAACAAAAGAGUACAUGCUUACAUAUAGGAGAUUGGAUCAGUUAGAGUUGAUUGGGUAUUCCGACUCCGACUUUGCUGGAUGCCAAGACAGCAGAAGAUCCACAUCAGGCUAUAUUUAUCUGUUGGCUAGUGGAGCAAUUUCAUGGAGGUCUGCCAAACAGACACUCGUAACUUCAUCCACCAUGGAAGCAGAGUUUGUAGCAUGUUAUGAGGCAUCCAAUCAAGGAAUAUGGCUACGAAAUUUUGUCACUGGGCUACGUGUUCUGGAUGGUAUUGAAAGACCGCUGAAGAUAUUUUGUGACAAUAAAUCAGCAGUUUUAUAUUCCAAUAACAACAGGAGUUCUACAAAAUCAAAAUACAUUGAUAUCAAGUUCCUAGUUGUAAAAGAAAAAGUACAGAGUGGACAGAUAUCCAUAGAGCAUAUUGGAACAAACUCCAUGAUAGCGGAUCCGCUUACAAAGGGAUUACCACCCAAGGUCUUUCAUGAGCACACUGCUCAUAUGGGUGUUGUCUCAUUUGAGGAUAUCCAAAUUUAGUGGGAGUUUGUAUUAUUCAUUGUAUAUUGCUCUAUGUUAUGUUUAGACUUUAUCUAUACAUUUGGAUUGUGUUCUGCAGAAAUAAAGUAUUCAUUUUAUUGCACUCUGUUAAAUUAUGCUAAAGAUUUGAUCUCAAUAAAGUUAAGUUGGACCAGUUGGAAAUAGGCAUGAAUAGAUCACAUUGCAUGUAAUUUCCAUGCUAUGCACUCAUGAUUGAUCUAUGUCAUUUAGCUGUGCAGAUAUAUGUGACCAUUGAUUGGUCUAGUAACGAUUGAUGUAACAAAGGCCACCUUGAUCCUAUGUCAGUAUAGUUAAUGGACGAGAUUGUUCGGAUAUACCCUAAGGACAUGAUAGCAAAUUUUGUGCUCAUAAGGUUAAGCACAUUUAUUUGAUUACAUAUGCAUGUGGCCCAGUGGGAGAUUGUUAGAUUAAUUUUUGUAAUUAAUCUAUAAUUUGGGCCACACAUGUAAAUAAUUAAAAUGUGUGUGCUAUCAUUUAAUUAAGCCUAAAUAUAGUGAUCUAAUUAAUAAUUGAUUAAUUGGCUUAAGGGUAUAAUUGUCAUGAGAUUAUUGUGUAGAUACCAUUAGACAAUUAUUAUUUCUAUGAGGGGCAGAAAUAUAAUUGUGAUAAAAUUAAAACUGCCCUAGCAGUUUAUAAAUAGGGUUAUGGUCCCCAUUCUACGACUACGCAUUCCAAUUUCUGAAAAUCCUCUCAGAGAGAAAUUGACACAGAAUCUAGUGGCUAGAAUUGGAAGACCAUCUCAAAGGGUUUUUUUUUCUAUAAGGUUUCUCCUUCAAUGGAUUCAGGUAUGCUUCCGCUAUUAUUUUUCUACUCAUUGUUUUUAAUCAGGAGAUUCCAGUGUAUAUAUAAAUUAAGGUAUUCACCUUGUUAAAUAUUUCAGUACAUAUGUAGUUAGGGUAUUCACCCUGUUAAAUAUUCCAGUACAUAUGUAGUUAGGGUAUUCACCCUAUUAAAUAUUCCAGUACAUAUGUAGUUAGGGUAUUCACCCAGUUAACUAUUCCAGUAUAUAUGAAAUCGGGUAUUCAUCUUGGUUGAAUACUAACAAAUACUUUUAUUAUUUCUAAUACUUAAAAUUUUUUAUCAUUUAAGUGUUAAAAAUGUUAGAAAUGUUUUUUAAAAUCACUUCUAGAUACAGUCGAACAGAGUUGCAGAAAAGCUCUUUGACUUAGAGGAGGAUGUGCAAGAUUGAUGAAGUGAGCCACUUCCUAGUUUCAAUUAACAAAUAAAAAUGGAGUUUUUAAUAGAAGAAGAGAAGAUGUUUUGGGAGGAAGGAAUGGAAGUGGAGGUCGUAGACUCGUAGAGCCCUCCAUUCUCUUCAACACACUCAUAAAACCGCCAACAAAAGGAAGAAAAACAACGGUUACAUCUAUAUAUUCACAAACAAGAACUGGAUCGAUGUUGUUCUUAGGCUUUCUUCUUUUAGGUUUUUUCGAGAAAAAAUUGAUUUGUCCUAUUUUUAGUAAGUUAAGUUUUUUUUUUUUGAUUGAUUAUUAUUAUUAUUAUUAUUAUUUUACAAUAGUUUAGUUUAACUCAAAUGUACCUCCUUAAAGCACUUCUAUGGAGGAUUUUUUUUAACUAUAAAUUAAACCCUUAUUUAUUAAUUAAUUUUUUUUUAAAAAAAAUUCAUGCAUAAACCUAUUUAAAGAUGAUAACGCAGAGGAUUUAGGACUCAUCUCAAAAAAUAGGAUAAUAGAAUUUCUUAUAUCUAUCCCAUAUCAAAUGGUGAUUCUUCUUUAGUUAUAUUUUAAAAAGUAAUUGAAAAUAAUUUAAAUAUUUUUGAAAGUUUAAUUUAACUCAAAUGCAGCUCCUUAAAACACUUCCACGUAAGAUUUUGAUAUCUAGGACAACUAGUAGAGGGGAAGGUUUCUAAUUUCUAAUUUGUGUUAGGAAAGGUUUCUAAUUUCUGUCGGGAAAGGUUUCUAAUUGCUUAGGUUAAAUACGGAAGUACUCUUAAGUGAAAGGGGAGAAAAAAGCUUCACAAAAAUAAUUUGUUUGGUUCUCUGCUCUUGUGAAGAUUUGGAACAAGUGAAGAUAUGGAGGGGGAGCAUCCAGAGCGCAUGGAGUGCUUUAAAUGCAAGAGAAAGCGCCUCUUAAUGAGAGAGAAAACAAAGCGCUUAAUGAGAGAGAAAACUCUCAAGAGGCCUUUUCUGGAAGAAGAACCCAGAAAGAGGAAAAAAUCAAGGAAUGGAACGUUAGUGAUUGAAGAAAGGAAUGGAGAAGACCGAGUACCUGAGAAACUGAGCAUAGAGGAAGAAGAAGAGCCUUGGAGACAGAUGGAAAUUUAUAUUGAAGAUGAAGAAGACCAAGUAUCUGAGACAUACAAGGAAGACGAGAGGCCUGUGGAAGAGGAACCUGAGAAACCAAUCAUAGAGGAAGAAGAAGAUCCUUGGAGACCGAUGAAAAUUUUUGUCGAAGGUAUUAUUGAACAUUUACACGAUGACUUGGAAAAUCAGUGGAAUCUCAGGAUGGAGCAGAAUAUUGGAGUUGGCCUUGAUCUUCCGAGGGUGGAGAUGGAUGAAGGUGAAGAUCCUCCUCCAGAGCUUCCGGAGGAUUUUAAAGUUCGCAUAAGAGAAAUGAAUGGCACCCAUCCGAUUCUGGUUUUAGAGAAGCAGUUAUUUAAGACUGAUAUAAACAAAGGUGAAAACAGAUUAUCCAUGCCCUUGAACCAAAUCCGAAGGGAGUUCUUGAGUGAAGACGAAAAGAUGAGGGUGGUGGAAGGAAUGCUAGUAAAGCUAAUACAACCAUCUCUGGAAGAAACUACAGUAACCUUCAAGAAAUGGAAGAUGAAGGAAAGUUGUCAUCUUUACGUUUUUACGAGGGAAUGGAAGUUGAUAGUACAUGACAAUUCACUUGAGGCAAGAACUCGAAUUCAAGUAUGGUCCUUUCGGGUUGGGUCCGAAUUGUGGUUUGCUCUUGUUAGGCUUAACCCAUGAAAACACAACAGCAGCAAUGGAGAAGCUGAAGAUGAGCAACAUUGAAGACAUUGAAGACCUGUCUUUUUUAAUAGAGUUUUUGAUAAGAGUAUUAGGGUUUUUGUUUAUUAUUCAUGCAAUUACCUUUAGACUAUGAGUUUGUUUGUUAUGCAUGUUUUUCAUCAAGGAUUUCUUUCCAUGGAUAUAUAAAUUUCAUGUUGGUUUAUCAAUUAAAUGCAUGGAUUUAAUUAAAGUGGGGAAAAAAAACUUCACAAUUAUAUGAAUUCUUCUUAAAUAGUUUUUUUGGUUUUUUGCUAUUGUGAAGAUUUGUUGCAGGUGAAGGAUUGGACAGACUCUUGUUUUGAUUUUGAAUGCAUGGAAAAUAAAGAGCGCCUAAUAAGAGAAAGCUCUCAAGAGGCCCUUUAUGAUUAAUUUAAGAUUAAUAUAUUUAUAAAAAAUAAAGCAAAUAAUAUAUCUCAGCGUUUAUCUUAUCUCAUAUUUGAUUGAACAUAUGAUAAGAUAAGUGGUGAAAUAACUUAUUGUAUUUCAUCACCAAUCAAACAUGGGAUAUGAUGUAUUUUUCUUUCUUUAUCUUACCUCAUGUUGUGUCACGCCAAUCAAAACAUGGUCUUAAAACACUUCUAUGUAGGAUUUCAAUUUUAUAUUAAACCCUUAUUUAUUUAUUAAAAAAAAACACCAUACACAAACUUAUAUAGAAAUCAUAAGUUUAAUUUAUAAAAAUAUAUUAUAAUAUCAAUAUAUGUAUUAUUUAAUAUAUAUAAUAUAUAUAUAUAUAUCCAUAUAUCAUAAAUUUAUUUAUUUUUUAUCAAUUUUUAUUUUUUUAUAUUAAUUAUUUUGUAAAAUAAAUUUUUUUAUGAUAAAAUAUAAUUUAUGGUUAAAAAAAACUCAAAAAUUUAUAAAAAUAUAUUAUAAAAUAAUAUCAAUAUAUGUAUUAUUUAAUAUAUAUAAAUAAUUUUUAUAUAUUUUAAAUAACAUAAUAUAAAAAAUUAUUUAUAAAGUUUAAAUAUUUUAAUCAUGAAUAUUUUUAUAUUUUUUAAAAUAAAAAUUUUUAUAAUACAAUAUAAUUUUUAUUUUAUAAAGGUCUGCCAUAGUUGGCCAACAUCACUGGAACCCACAUCAUUGAUGGUGUUUGGGGAACAAGCCAAAGAUCAAGAAUCAAGAAAAUUAACGAAAAACUACAAACUGUUUAUUCAUCAAGAAUCAGAAACUCUAAGAACAACCUUUGAAUGAAUGAAGAACAUUUGCAUGAAAAAUUCUAAGAAUAUUAUUGUUCUUGAAGGUGGUAUAUAUGGCAUCAAAUCUACUUAGCUGGUAUUUGCAGUGCUAUAGGCUUGUGCUGCCAUCAUCUUCUUCUCCUUCCUCCUUAAACCCUAACGACAGCAAAGCACAGCUUGGAAUCCAUGUUCCGAAAGGACCACAAUUCAGGCUUCACGACUACACAAAGUACAUCGAGCAUAUUAUUCAGGGGCCAUUCUUCUUCCUCUAUUUCUUCUACCUCGUAUUUCUCAGGUGCUCGGUCUUCUUCAUCUUCGGUAUAAAUUUCUAUCGGUCUCCAUGGCUCUUUUUUAUCUACGCUCAGAUUCUCAGGUUCUUCCUCCACAGGCCUCUCUUCUUCCUGUACUUUGUCUUCUUCGCCCCUUUCUUCCAUCUCAGGUUCUUCUUGAUCUUCUUGCAGAAAAGGCCUCUUGAGAGCUUUCUCUCUCAUUAAGCGCUGUCUCUUUUCCAUGCAUUCAAAAUCAAAACAUGAGUCUGUGCAAGACCUGUAACAAAUCUUCACAAAUAGCAAAAAACCAAAAAAAAAAAAAAAAAAAAACUAUUUAAAAAGAAUUCAUAUAAUUGUGAUUUUUUCCCACUUUUAUUUGAUAAAUUAUAUAUAUAUAUUAAAUAUGUAAAAUUAUUUAUUUUAAUUCCAAAAUUUGAUUUAGGUGGUGUUUAUUUUUUGACUUGAAUAAAAAAAAAUCAAAAAUAUUUUUUUUUAUUAUUUAACUAAAAGUAACCUAUUCAUAUAAAUCAGUAUAAUUAAACUAAAAUUAUUGAAAAUAAGUUCACUAAUUGUGUGAUUGGAUCUUAAACAGUGAACUUAAAUUUACUAAAUCCCGUGAUUUUUCAUCUCCACAAAUAGUGUGAGGUUUACCUGGUAAAAAAUUAUGAGUCUUUUAUAUACUUGUUUGAUUUUAAUUAUGAGUCUUUUAUAUACUUGUUUGAUUUUAAACAUUUUGUUUAUUCUUAAUAUCCAACGUAUUUAAAUUAGGUUAAUAUUUCAAACCGUAAAAGGGUUACCCUAAUAGAUAUUGGGUUAAUAUUUCAAUGCUUAUAUUAUAAUUUUUAAAAUAUAUCAAUUCACAUAGUAUAUUAGUUAGUGAAAAAUGAUUUAAUUUUUUUUUCUUCCAAUGCCAUUUUCUUCGAAAAAGAUUUGUAAAAAAUAUUUUGGUAGAAUAUGAAACAAGUUAUGAUCUUAUUUUUAGUUAAUUUAAUAACUUAUAAAGAAAAGAGAUGUUAUUAUAAAUGCUUUAAUACUUGAAUUCACUUAGAAUAAAAAUAAAAUUAUAAUUUUCACUAAAUAAAACUACUAUGAAUUGAAGGUUGAUAUUUGAAUUAAAAUAAUAAUUAAAGGAAAAUAAUUAAAUUUUUAGGCAAUGAUAUAUAUUAAUUAAUAUCUAGAAAGUAGGAGAUAUAUUUGUAAAGGAGAUAACUUCUAGUAUGAAAGUAAUUAUGUAAUUAAUUAUUAUCAGCCCAUAGAAUAGAAGGACAAUAUGAUUGUAAUUCCAAAAAAAAAAAUAUCAAUGACUAUAUGCAUGAAGUUAUAAUCCGUCUGUUUCCAUUCUUCUUCUUCAUCUUUGUUGUGCUUUCACUGGUUAGCCUUAAUAAGAGCAUACUGCAAUUUUCAAUUUUUGAAAUCUUUGGGAAAAUCAACUCCAUUGUGCACCAUUCGUCUUCGCCGAAUUUCCAACUCAUUGGAUAAAAUUGCAAUAACACUUUUGAUAUGAAGUAAAGCGAUAUUCAUAUUAUCAUUCAUCUCUCUUAUCCUAGUCCUGAAACCUUCAAGAAGAUCAAUUAAAAUCUGUUUCAUCCGUUGAAUUUCCAUCUCAUCCGAUAAAAUUUCAGUAAUACUUUCCAUAAAAAUUCUCCCACUUUGCUCAUUUUCUCCUUCAUGGCUAAUUUCCAUCCGUAUCUGGGGCUUCUCUUCUUCCUCUAUGCUCAAUUUCUUAGGUUCUUCUUCCACAAGCCUUUCUUCUUCCUUGGAUUCCUCUUGUACUUUGUCUUCUUCAUCCCUUCCAUUAAUCACUUCUUCUUCUUCGACAAUGGGCCUCUUGAGACCUUUCUCUCUCACUAAGCGCUUUCUCCUUUCCGAGUAGUCAUUAUUUUUGUAACCCUUCAUAUCUUCACAAGAGGAAAGGAACAAAAAAAACUUAUUAAAAAAGAAUUGUGAUUGUGAGGUGAUGCGCUCCAGUUCACAUAUGCUUCUAUAUGUAUCCUUACCAAUUAGAAACCUUUCCUAACACAAAUUAGAAACCCUAUUUCCCCGUUAUAAUAGCUAUCCUAAAUAUUUGGUGGAAUCAUGUUUUUUUUUUUUUACACAAUAUAUUAUUUUAAUUUUAUCCAUAAUAUAGAAUUUCUAAUUAUUUUUAUUAUUAUUAUAAUAGAGAUGAAAUAAAAAUAUUAAUGGUUGACUUAGAAAUUAUUUUUACUAGUAUUUAAAAACAAAAGGAAAAUAUAGGUUCAUUUAGCCAUAUUUUCUUAAAUUUGUUUUUAAAAACUGUUUUUAAGUUAAAAAAUAAAAAAUAAAUUUUAAAAACAAGUUCAAGAAACAUAAUCAAAGGGCCCUAAAAUUUUCCUUAGGUCUCUUCUUUGACCUCAUCAAAAUCACUAUAUUUUGGUAUCUUAGAGUAAAGUUUUGUAUGUUUUAAACCCGUGACUUCUUUAUUCCCUUCAAACCAACUUGUUUGAAUGGAAAACCCUACAUUUUACAAUUUGUUUUGUUGUAUGAUAUUUGUUUUGAUCAAAAGAUUGAGCGGUAUUUAUUUAUUUUACUUAAUUCUAAAUUGAAUUUUAACGUUUAAUAGUGUUAAAUAUUAAGUUGUUUGUUUUUGUAAUAUUUUAUUUCUAUUAAGUAUUAAAAAGUAAAGAAAAAUAAACAUGUUACUUUUUCUAUUUGGAAACAGUUAAAUAUUUUGGUUUUUUUUAAUUCAAUAAAAAGUUUAUAAUAAGUCAUAAAAAAGUAGAAAAACAAACAACUUAAAGUCUGAAAGUAAAUUACUUUCAUUAAAAAGUUAAAAAAACAAACACCCUCUUAACCUCAUUAUAUAAUUUAACAUUAAAUUAUUUACGUAUGUUAAAAGUUUAAUCAGCCUUGUAGCUCGAUCAUUUUGUGAUAUAAAUAAUAAGAAGUACCAUUAUUUGUUUGUUUUAACUUUAAGUCUUAAGACAAAUUACUCUAAAAUUCAAGUAAUUUCUAAAAUUACUUAUUUUUUAAUUUAUCAUUUGUUUUAAGACAAAUUUGUGUUGUCUUAAAACUUAAAAAGUUAAAAAACCGAAGAACUCCUUAAUGUCAUACUACAAUAGAUAUUUGUUUAUUGAAAUAUGUUAGCAUAUAUUAAAAAAAAUAGCUUAAUGAAAUAAUUCAACCAACUAAUCCCCUUGUGGAGACCAGAAUGGCAGAGACUGUAAAAAUCACGUGAAACAGUGAUAAAUUAUAACUAAAUCUUACCGGCCAGCCUUUGAGCCUCUUCACCACGGUUCAAAGUUGCGGUAUCGAUCACUGACUUGGAGGGUCUCGAGGCGUAUCGGUCUCGGUGUAUCAAUUUGGUAUCAGGCGAUACGUAAAAUAAGCUAAUUCAAAAAUUCAAAAAAAUAUAAAAAUAUUAUGUAAAUUAUUAGAAAAAUAUAUACAAUUAAAUAAGCUCAAAAAAUUAAUAAAAUAAAAUUGUCUCACAUUUAACAUUAUUUAAAUAGUUAUAAAAAUAUCUGCUCAAAGUUGUUUAUAGUAAUGCUAAUAAAAGAAAGUUAUUUUAUUUCAAAUAUAAUAACAUUUUUACUAACAAACAUACAAUACAAUAAUCAAUUCCAUGUUGAAUGACGAGGGGGUUCAAAAUCAUCAUAAUCAGUCCUACGACGAGUAUACAAAUUGGGGUGGCAAUUCCCGUAGUGAGGAUAUGGUUGAAAGAGUUGUUCAUAACUCAAAUAUGUUGGGUGAGAUGAUUGGCUUGAUGAUCCAUAAUCAGGAAAAUAUGGUUUCGAAGGCUAUUCGGGAUCAACACCAUAUUGAUAGUAUUCAAAACCUCGAUAAGCAAUGCUAUUGCUACUAGAAGAUUGAUCAUAUCCAUAUGAGUCACGAGCUCAUGUUCCAGUAUUUGAAUAUCCCUCUGGAUGCAUCAUUAGAAAUCGAUCAAAAUCAUUUAUACUAAAAGUACUGGAAGAGCUAUCAUGGUCUCUAAAGUUGUGGUAUGAUCUAUCAUCUACCCCUUUGAAAUACGACUUUGAUCUUAUACCCAAAUUUUGUAAGUGCUCAUCAAUACAGUGAUAAUUUGAUCUAUGAUAAUCAUGCCCAUUAGAAUAAUCAUUAUCAUUGGGAAAUGUGGUUAGUCUUUCCAAAUGCUUUCGUUGUUCCCAUAUCCCUGGUCGAUAUCCAUGAUCUGUAUCUUGUGUGGCAUAGUAAUUUUCACCUCCUUGUGCCCAUGACAUGCUAGGAUCUACUUGACUAACAUAACCGCCCCCAGUGCUACCAUCUCCUCCAGUACCCUCACUAGUGCUACCAACUCCUCUAUUGCCCCCAUUAGUGCCACCACCCCGCCUACUGGGCAUCGUCACCAUCAUCACUACUAGAACUUGAAGAAAUUGUUUUAGAAGCCUUACCUUUACGACGGGAAUCAACAUCUCUUUUCCUACCUUCUUCAUUAGUGGGAAGACCUUUAUUCAACUAAUCCAAAUUAUCAGAUGAUAAAAUAGGCUCUUCUCCUUCUCAUAUCCACUCAUCUAAUAUAUCAUCAUCAUUAAAGAUAUGAUUCCGAUCAAUUGGAUUUUAUAAAUUUUCAUUGCUUCGCUCUUGCAUCAAAUUCUUAACUUGAAGUCGCACAUUGUAGUGCACAUAAACUAACUUAUGCAACUUUUUCAUUGCCAAACGGUUGCGCAACUUUGUGUGAAUCAAUGACCAUGUGCUCCAAUUUCUUUCACAACCUGAUGAAGAACAAGUUUGGCUUAAAACUUUAAUAACAAUCUUUUGUAGAUGUGGACCUUCGUCGCCAUAGUUGUUCCACCAUUCAGCUAUAAUAAAGAAAAUGCAUAGUUAUUAAUCACUAUGAUAUAUUUAAAAAAAAAUGAUGAUAAUUUCUUAUUUCUAAGAGACAUAAAUGUAUUGAGUACCUGGAAGAGAUUGAUUUCUUGCUUUCUUUGUAAGUGCACUUCCAAAUUCUCAUUGGCCAUCAACAAAUAAUUUCACCUACAUCAUUAACAUUUUUUUUUAUUAAUGCACAUUACAUAUACAAAAUGCAUUAUAUAAAGGUCACAAACUAUUAUUAUACCUUGUUAAUAGCUUUUGCUUGUCUAUCCAAAUCUAGCUCUAAUCUCUUGAUAACCUCCUUUAAUCCAACUUUAAUUUUCGGAUGGUUGGAGAAAUGCUUUGAAUAUUGGAACAUUGGAUUUAAAAAAAUAUGCUGCCAUAAGUUAAAUAAUGAUCAGUUUAUAAUAAUUUGUACUCGAAAAAAAUAAUAAAAAAUAUAUAAAGAAUUUUUUUAUUACCUACAACAUGCAAAUGCCUGUGCAAUUGACCUUCCCACCUUCUAUUAAUGACUUCCCAAUACUUUUCCCAUUGCUUGAUCGAUGCCUUGAUAGCCAAUUUAACUCUAUCCAUUGCUUCAUAAAUGAUUGAUAGUGUGAGCUUUUUAUUUUGAUCAACCAAUUUCAAUACUUUGACGAGAGGUUCCAUGAUGGUUUGAACUUCCCUUGCCUUCUUCCAAAAUCGAUCAGUUAAGAUAAGGUUGGAUACCUUAUCUCUUAGAAUUUUUCUACUCCUAUCUUUAUUGAAUUUACACCACUCAUUUGUUGUGCACAUUCUCUUCAAAUCAACCUCAUAACGUAUAAGACUCUCAAGUGAAAUGAAUUCAGUGGCAAAACGGGUUAUUCCUAGCCUUAACAGAUAUCUAUCAUUGGUGAACACUUUCAUCAAAUUCACUACUUUCAAGCUAUUAUAAAUAAAUCCUGUGAUCAUCUUAGCUUGAUCUAAUGUCUCCUUAAUCCGCUUCAUGCUUGCAAUAUCUUCAAGCAUUAAAUCAAUACAGUGGGCUGCACAAGGAGACCAAAACAAAUGCUUCCGCUUCUCCAUCAACAACAUAGCGACUGCUUUAAAACUUGCCUCAUUAUCAGUGACUACUUGAACAACAUUUUCCUCCCCAACCUCCUCUACAACUUUAUCCAUAAGGGAAAAGAUGUAGUCUGCUGUCUUAGGUAUGUUGGUAGUGUCAACUGAAGAAUGGUAUAUCAUACUUCUAUCACAAGAAAUCAUGAAAUUGAUGAUAGGCUUUCUAGUCCUAGAACUCCAACCAUCACACAUGAUUGUGCACCCAUAUAUAGGCCAUUUAGCCUUCAAUGUUGUUAUGUAUACCUUAAGCUCUUGCACCUCAUCUUCUAAAUAUGUAUUUCCAAUUUAGUAUCUCGUGGGACCCUUAAUGCCUGGACCUGCUUCUGCCAUGGUAUCAAUCAUUGAUUGAUAGUAAGGCCCACUAUUAGCUACAUUAAAGGGUAUUGCAUUAAAGAGAAAGAAUUUAGAAAUAACUUUACCCACUUUAUUCACGCUUUCAGUAGAAAACAAGCUUUUUAUUGAUUUCUGCUUUGAUGGGAACAUGUAGGGAUCAAUUCCUUUUGGAGGUAUGCUAGCUCAUUUUCUUACACUGAAGCUACGUGUCAGUCCGCGCUUAAUCCUAGCAUUAGAAGGUUGUGAGGAACUACCACCCUUCUGAUGCUCUUGUCCACAUUCUUAAAAAAUUCGACGACUUUCUUUCAUUGCUUGUUUCAUUUGUCUUCUUUCAAAAUUAGCCAUAACAACGUCCUCAAUUUCAUAGAGAUUUUCUCUAUUUAAGGAACUCAAAAGUCAUUUUUUUUCUUUAACUGUGCUUUUUCUUUGGAAGUAUUAGACAUAUGUUGUCUAACACUAUGUGACACUUCUACCGAUACAUGUGGACAUCCUUCCACUUGUUCGGAUAUAUGUGUAAUGUGUUGCUUUAAUCUUGUUAUACUGCCUUGUAUAAUUUUCCCACAAUAUUUACACUUUGUGGUUCUUCUACUACUACCAACAGGUUCUGCAUGCUCCCAACCAAUAUCAUGUUUUGAAGCCAUUUUGAAAUUUUAACCUAACCAUGUAUAAAAGGAAAACAACUUACUUUUCAAAUUAAAUAUAUAUAAACACAUUUAUAUAAGAAUUAUAAUAUUCAAUUUUCCACUCACUUAUAUGUUUCAUAUUGUAACCAUAUAAAAAUAAAUUCUACUAAAAAAGCAAUAAACACGAUCUCACCUAAGUUCAUCAUCUUUUGUUUUCCACUUAUUUAUAUGUUUUUUAAUUAAAAUAAAUAAUAGUUAAAUAAAUGAAUAUUUUUAUAAAAAAAAAAUUCUUUUAAAAAAGUUUGUUUUGAUAAUUAUUGAUUUCCUAUUGUAAUUUAAUUGUAGAAUAUUAUAAAAUAAAAAAUCUACAUGAUAUAAUGAAGUAAAAUUGAUUAAAAUAUAAAUGUAAUUGACCAUGUAAAUGCAUACCCUUCAUUCCGUAUUAUUAAAUCAUUUAUGAUUAUUUGAAAAAAAAUUAAAUAAUUAUUAAUUUUCUAAUGUAAUUUAAUUUUGCAAUAUUAUAAGAUAAAAACAUAAAUUAAAAAUACAAUAUCUAUACCAUAUAAAAUUUACCAUAUAAAUGUACUUUAUAUUUCUAUACCAUACAAAAAUAAUUUAGUGAACCAAUUUAUUGUUUUGAUAAUUAUUGAUUUCCUAUUGUAAUUUAAUUAUAGAAUAUUAUAAAAUAAAAAAUCUACAUGAUAUAAUGAAGUAAGAUUGAUUCAAAUAUAAAUGUAAUUUACCAUGUAAAUGCCUACCCUUCAUUCCGUAUUAUUAAAUCAUUUAUGAUUAUUUAAAAAAAAUUUAAAUAAUUAUUAAUUUUCUAAUGUAAUUUAAUUUUGCAAUAUAGUAUUAAUGUAAUUGAGUAAUAGGGAAAUUUUGUCACUAAUAUAAUGUAAAUUUAUUUAUACUAAUAGAAAAUUGAGUGAUAUUUUUAAAGUAUUCAAUACAAUUUCUUGUACAUUAUAUUUUGUAGCAUUAUACAAAAUGUUAUAUAAAAUAUAAAACAUUUAUUCAACCAAGCAAUGUAACAUUUUGGAGCUCAUGAUAUCACUUAAUAAUAAUAUUAUAAAAGAUUUUGAUGAUAAUUUUACUCAAUACUAUUUGACUAAUUAUAUGUCAAAUGUCAGUUUUUCUCCUUAUUGAUUUUUUUUUAAAAAAAUAUUAGUAACAUAAAAAAUAAAGUGGACAACUAGGAAAAGAAAAUUAAUUUAUUUUAAUAUCUUGUAUGAUAAGACGCUUUGAAAUUAUGUUGUAACAUUGGUGAUUAUAGUUAGUGAGUAACUACUUGGCAAUUCUAAUUCAAACGAAAGAUCGAGUAUUAAAACUAUCUUGAGAUUUACUCAAUUUAUUAAAACCUAAUUAGUUAAAAAUGAUGAAAAUAAUCCUUAUAUUUGAAGAGUAACUCAUUUUCUUUAUAUAUAUAAAUACCGUUGAUUAUUUUAAGUAUUUACAUGAAUGCUUUAAAAUAAAUAAUUAUUUUUAUAAGAAAAAAAUGAGUGUUUUUUUAAAAUGAUGCCAAAAAAUAAUGAAGGGUUAGAUUUCCAAAAUUGGGUUUUCAAUAACCUUUUUAAUUAAAUAAGUCAUUUACUAAUGCUAUAUUUGGUUUAUGAAUAUUAGAGAAAAAGAAAAAAGAAAGCUAAACAAAUUUAAGGUUAAUAAAUUGUUUUUGUAUGGCUCUUUUAAUUCAUUUUAUUUAUUUAUUUUUCUAUAUAAAGAUUAUAUAAUUUAAAAAUAUAUAAAUGUUUAGCUAAUUUUUAAUUGCAGCUGAUUCUCUUUUAUAUUUUUUAUGAUAAAAAUAGUGAAAAAAAUAAAUAAAUUUUCUUAAUAAUUUUUUUGGGAAUCAAAUAUAACCUAAACGAAGGUUUAGUAUCUAUUACAAACGAGUACUUAUAAUUUUUUUGCUUAUAUAUGGAAAAUUAGAUUAUACCAUAGUUGAAGAAUAUAAAACAAAAAUCAAAGACCAUUCAACCAAAGACUAAUAGAUCACAUCUCAAGGAUGGUCAAUCACCCAACUGGGCUAAGAUCAAUUUUAAUUAAUCACUUAAUAAAUAAAUUAGUAUUUAAUGUCACUUGUCAUUGUAUAAAAUAAAAAAUAAUGACUGAUUUUAUUAAGAGUAUUGAGAAAUUGAUAAAAUGUAUAAUUUAAUGGUGAUAAUAAUUUUAAAAUAUUAAAGAUAUUCAUUUAUGUUUUCUCAUUUAUGUGAUGGAUGAAAGUCAAUCAAAUUAAUUGGCACCUCAAAAAAAAAAAAUUGUUAUAACCAUCCAAUAUUUGAAAAGGAAUGAUAGAUUAUAUAUAGCAACAAUAAAGUGUUAAACCGUAUACAGAGGAGUAUAUAUAUAUUCACAUGCUUCAUUAAGCACAACUAUAUAGCAAAAAAGGGGAAUUACCUUUAUUAGUUAUUACCUGCUGGUUUGAAACCCUUGCCCUCUAUCUUCUUCCCCAACACCACGAAGACCGAUUUGCAGCCUUGCUAUCUUCUUCCCCAAUACACCACGAACACCGAUCUAUAGCCUUGCUAUCUUCUUUCCCAACACACCACAAAAACCAUGAUCUGCAGCCUCUCAGACUAUCGGACCUUCCCACCGCUACCAUACAACCACGAUCUGCUACCUUCCCACCGGCAACGCACCAAAGACGAAGAUUCUACACGCUGGAAAUGGUGGAUUUAGGGUUAAGUAAGUUAUUCUUCAACUAAGGCUUUUUUUAAAGGCUUUUGAAAGGGUCACAGGUUUGUUUCAAAUUUUCACGGGUUUGUUUCAAAUUUUCAAGGGUUUUCUUUUGCAGAGGAAUCUCUGAUUUCUUUGAAAGAAUUGAUUCUUGUUGUGAUGGGUUUCUUUUGCAAGGAAUCUGUUGAUUGUUUUUUUUUUUUUUUUUUUUUUUUUUUUUUCCGAGUUGACUGAGUUAACUUGGAAUAUCGGUUGAGUCAUCCGAGUCCAACCGAUUCAAGGUUGAGUCUAGGUAUAAAUUGUAUAUGGUAUUGGACUCGUUGCGGUCGACGUCGAGGCGGAUACGACUCGACCGAGUAGUACCAGACUCGGUCGAUUUUUUGAACCCUGAACUUCAAGUCCUCUGUAGUUAUUUAGUUGCAACUACAAAUAGUGUUGUUCCCUCCCUCUCUCUUCAUAUUUGUAUAUAUAGUGGCUCUCUGGACGAUUCAUAGCUUUCUCUCUAAAGCAAGAACGAGGAAUAGAGCCCUAGAGGGAGAGAAAUCAUAUUUCGCUUACUUGCACUUUCCAGUUUCAUUUUCUAGCUCACCAAACGGGGACUGUGAGCGAUUUAGAGAGAGGCAAAGUCUUGAUCAGAGUGUUAGAGAGGGAAGGAAUGGCUUCUAGUCCCAAGAACGUUGGAAUUCUCACUAUGGAGAUCUAUUUUCCUCGAACUUGUGUUUAGCAAGUGAUGAUUCUAUUAUUUUAUUUUAUUUUAUUUUAUUUUUCUUGUUUAAUCUUUGUUUUGUUUUCAAUUGGUUUGUUGAAUCAAUUAUUGUUUCUUAGGUGUUAAUGCUGUUUGAAUUAGGUUUUUGAUGGAGUUCCUUUUUGUGUUUAAUUGAAGUGAACAUGAUGUUGGAAGAGUGUGAAUGUGAAAAAGCGCUUUUAAGUGUUUUUUUUGCUUGUUCCACAUAGGAAAAAGAGGAACACCUUUAUUAGGUUUAUUAGCUAGACCAUUUUCCUUAACCUAAUGGGCUUGUGAAGAGGUGUGGGAGAGCCUUGCGCACCCAUAGGGCCAAAGCCCAUUUGAGUGGGGCUUUGGGUUGGUUGAGCCUAUAAAAGCAGGUCACCCCUUACUCUCUACACACCAAUUUUACCCUAGUGCACGCCUCAGCCUAUCACCGAUAGGUUUUCUUGUUAUUCAUUCUAUUCUUUGUUUGUGUGUUUUGGGCUAGUCCUUUAUUUUCACACCCUCAAAACUACACAUGAGAGAAUAUGAUGUAAAUGUCAUGCUUAGUGUUGAUUUCUUUUUUCUCUUUUUUGGAGUCUUUAUUGAAUUUGAUUUAAACUGUGGGAAAAUUGGUAUUUUUUUUUGGUAAAAUAAAAUGAAAAGUUAUUUUUGGCAAAAAUAAGUGGAAAAGAAGGUCAGAUUUCUGACCUGGUGGAUGAUCAGGUUUGAUUUUUGGUAGUUUAUUGUAAUCCUGCCUAUAAAAGCAGGACACCCCUCACUCUCUACACACCAAUUUUACCUUAAUGCACGCCUCAACCUAUCACCAAUAGGUUUUCUUGUUAUUCAUUCUAUCAUUUGUUUGUGUGUUUUGGGCUAGUCCUUUAUUUUCAUAUUCUUAAAACAACACAAGAGAGAAUAUGAUGUAAAUGCCAUGCUUAGUUUUGAUUUUUUUUUCUCUUUUUUGGAGUCUUUAUUGAAUUUCAUUUAAACUGUGGGAAAACUGGUGUCUUUUUUGGUGCAAUUGAAUGCAAAGCUAUUUUUGGAAAGAAAAAAAAAAAAGGAGUGGGAAAGAAGGUCAGAUUUCUGAUCUGGUGGAUGAUCAACUUUGAUUUUUGGUAGUUUAUUGUAAUCCUACCUAUAAAAGCAGGUCACUAUCACUCUCUACACACCAAUUUUACCCUAGUGCACGCUUCAACCUAUCACCGAUAGAUUUUCUAGUUAUUCAUUCUAUUCUUUGUUUGUGUGUUUUGGGCUAGUCCUUUAUUUUCAUACCCUUAAAACAAUACAUGAGAGAAUAGGAUGUAAGUGUCAUGCUUAGUUUUGAUUUAUUUUCUCUCUUUUGUGGAGUAUUUAUUGAAUUUGAUGUAAACUGUGGGAAAAUUGGAGUCUUUUUUUGGUGCAAUUGAAUGCAAAGUUAUUUUUGGCAAAAAGAAGUGGGAAAGAAGGUCAGAUUUUUGACCUGGUGGAUGAUUAGCUUUGAUUUUUGGUAGUUUAUUGUAAUCCUACCUAUAAAAGUAGGUCACUAUCACUCUCUACACACCAAUUUUACCCUAGUGCAUGCCUCAGCCUAUCACCGAUAAGUUUUCUUGUUAUUCAUUCUAUUCUUUGUUUAUGUGUUUUGGGUUAGUCCUUUAUUUUCAUACCCUUAAAACAACACAUGAGAUAAUAUGAUGUAUAUGCCAUGCUUAGUUUUGAUUUUUUUUUUUCUCUUUUUUGGAGUCUUUAUUGAAUUUGAUUUAAACUGUGGGGAAAUUGGUGUCUUUUUUUGGUGCAAUUGAAUACAAAGUUAUUUUUGGCAAAAUGAAGUGGGAAAGAAGGUCAGAUUUUUGACUUGGUGGAUGAUCAGCUUUGAUUUUUGGUAGUUUAUUGUAAUCUUGCCUAUAAAAGCAAGUCACCCCUCACUCUCUACACACCAAUUUUACCCUAGUGCAUGCCUCAGCCUAUCACCGAUAGGUUUUCUUGUUAUUCAUUCUAUUCUUUGGUUGUAUGUUUUGGGCUAGUCCUUUAUUUUUCAUACCCUUAAAACAACACAUGAGAGAAUAGGAUGUAAAUGUCAUGCUUAGUUGUGGUUUUUUUUAUAUCUUUUUUGGAGUCUUUAUUGAAUUUGAUUUAAACUGAUGGAAAAUUGGUGUCUUUUUUUGGUGCAAAUUAGUGCAAAGUUAUUUUUGGAAAAAAUAAGUGGGAAAUGUCGGAUUUCUGACCUGGUUGAUGAACUUUGCUUUUUGGUAAUUUAUUGUAAUCCUGCCUAUAAAAGUAGGUUACCCCUCACUCCCUACACACCAAUUUUACCUUAGUGCACGCCGUAACCUAUCACCGAUAGGUUUUCUUGUUAUUCAUUCUAUUUUUUGUUUGUCUGUUUUUGGCUAGUCCUUUAUUUGCAUACUUUUAAAAUAACACAUGAGAGAAUAAGAUGUAAAUGCCAUGCUUAGUUUUGAUUUUUUUUUUCUCUUUUUUGGAAUCUUUAUUGAAUUUGAUUUAAACUGUAGGAAAAUUGGUGUCUUUUUUUGGUGCAAUUGAAUGCAAAGCUAUUUUUGGCAAAAAGAAAUGGGAAAGAAUGUUAGAUUUCUGACCUGGUGGAUGAUCAACUUUGAUUUUUGGUAGUUUAUUGUAAUCCUGACUAUAAAAGCAGGACACCCCUCACCCUCUACACACCAAUUUUACCAUAGUGCAUGCCUCAGCCUAUCACCGAUAGGUUUUCUUGUUAUUCAUUCUAUUCUUUGUCUGUGUGUUUUGGGCUAGUACUUUAUUUUCAUACCCUUAAAACUACACAUGAGAGAAUAGGAUGUAAAUGCCAUGCUUAGUUUUGAUUUCUUUUUUUUUUUUUCUCUUUUUUGGAGUCUUUAUUGAAUUUGAUUUAAACUGUUGGAAAAUUGGUGUCUUUUUUUGGUGCAAUUGAAUGCAAAGUUAUUUUUGGCAAAAAUAAAUGGGAAAGAAGGUUAGAUUUCUGACCUGCUAGAUGAUCAACUUUGAUUUUUGGUAGUUUAUUGUAAUCCACCAUAUAAAAGCAGGUCACCCCUCACUCUCUACACAACAAUUUACCUUAGUGCACGCCUCAGCCUAUCAUCGAUAGGUUUUCUUGUUAUUCAUUCUAUUCUUUGUUUGUGUGUUUUGGGCUAUUCCUUUUUUUUUCAUACCCUUAAAACAACACAUGAGAGAAUAGGAUGUAAAUGCCAUGCUUAGUUUUGAUUUUUUUUUCUCCUUUUUGGAGUCUUUAUUGAAUUUUAUUUAAACUGUGGGAAAAUUGGAGUCUUUUUUUGGUGCUAUUGAAUGCAAAGCUAUUUUUGGCAAAAAGAAGUGGGAAAGAAGGUCACAUUUCUGACCUAGUGGAUGAUCAACUUUGUUUUUUUGGUAGUUUAUUAUAAUCCUGCCUAUAAAAGCAGGUCACCCUUCACUCUCUACACACCAAUUUUAUCCUAGUGCACGCCUCAACCUAUCAUCGGUAGGUUUUCUUGUUGUUCAUUCUAUUCUUUGUUUGUGUUUUGGGCUACUCCUUAAUUUUUAUACCCUUAAAACAACACAUGAGAGAAUAGGAUGUAAAUGUCAUGCUUAGUUUUGAUUUCUUUUUUCUCUUUUUUGGAGUCUUUAUUGAAUUUGAUUUAAACUGUGGGAAAAUUGGUGUCUUUUUUUGGUGCUAUUGAAUGCAAAGCUAUUUUUGGCAAAAACAAAUGGGAAAGAAGGUCAGAUUUCUGACCUAGUGGAUGAUCAACUUUGUUUUUUGGUAGUUUAUUGUAAUCAUGCCUAGAAAAGGAGGUCAACGCUCACUCUCUACACACCAAUUUUACCCUAGUGCACGCCUCAGCCUAUCACCGAUAGGUUUUCUUGUUAUUCAUUCUAUUCUUUGUUUGUGUGUUUUGGGCUAGUCCUUUAUUUUCAUACCCUUAAAACAACACAUGAGAGAAUAGGAUGUAAAUGCCAUGCUUAGUUUCGAUUUCUUUUUUCUCUUUUUUGGAGUCUUUAUUGAAUUUGAUUUCAACUGUGGGAAAAUUGGUGUCUUUUUUUGGUGCAAUUGAAUGCAAAGCUAUUUUUGGCGAAAAGAAGUGGGAAAGAAGGUCAGAUUUCUGACCUGCUGGAUGAUCAACUUUGAUUUUUGGUAGUUUAUUGUAAUCCACCAUAUAAAAGCAGGUCACCCCUCACUCUCUACAUACCAAUUUUACCUUAGUGCACGCCUCAGUCUAUCACCGAUAGGUUUUCUUGUUAUUCAUUCUAUUCUUUGUUUGUGUGUUUUGGGCUAUUCCUUCUUUUCAUACCCUUAAAACAACACAUGAGAGAAUAUGAUGUAAAUGUCAUGUUUAGUUUUGAUUUUUUUUUUCUCCUUUUUGGAGUCUUUAUUGAAUUUUAUUUAAAUUGUGGGAAAAUUGGAGUCUUUUUUUUGGUGCUAUUGAAUGCAAAGCUAUUUUUGGCAAAAAGAAGUGGGAAAGAAGGUCAGAUUUAUGACCUAGUGGAUGAUCAACUUUGUUUUUUGGUAGUUUAUUGUAAUCCUACCUAUAAAAGCAGGUCACCCCUCACUCUCUACACACCAAUUUUAUCCUAGUGCACGCCUCAGCUAUCAUCGAUAGGUUUUCUUGUUGUUCAUUCUAUUCUUUGUUUGUGUUUUGGGCUACUCCUUAAUUUUUAUACCCUUAAAACAACAAAUGAGAGAAUAGGAUGUAAAUGCCAUGCUUAGUUUUUAUUUCUUUUUUCUCUUUUUUGGAGUCUUUAUUGAAUUUGAUUUAAACUGUGGGAAAAUUGGUGUCUUUUUUUGGUGCAAUUGAAUGCAAAGCUAUUCUUGGCAAAAAGAAGUGGGAAAGAAGGUCACAUUUCUGACCUGCUGGAUGAUCAGCUUUGAUUUUUGGGAGUUUAUGGUAAUCCCGCAUUUGGUGCCAUGAAACAUGAGGAAAUCAAAAGAAAAUAAAAUUCAGAUAACAAAAGAAGAUAUCAACAAUUCAACUCUACAAACAUUUUACCAGAGUAACUUAGAAAUGAAAUAACAAAAUGGUCAAGCUGGUCAGUUAUUUUGGAAUAACAAAUAGUUAAAGAAUUAGUUAAUUAGUUUAACAGGAUCUUGAUUGGUUGGAAGGUCGAGGAAGUCAGAUAUUUUGAGAGAAUAACAAAUAGUUCAAGAAUUAGUUAAUUAAUUUAACAGGUUCUUGAUUAGUUAGAGAUUGGUUAAGUUGUUUACUCUGUUGUAACUAGAUGUUAUAUAUAGAUGUUUCCUCAAACUCAUUAAUUUAUUCUUUUGAGCUUCCCAAAAUAUCUCUCUGUUUACACUCUGGUCGCUUUACUUUCAGAUUUUUAAAAUUGGGAAGGAACACCUGGAUUGAAUUCUUAUUGGCUAAUUUGAUUGAAUAUUUGAAAUUAUUCUGGAAUUUGGUGAAAUAUGACUGAAUAAUUUGAAACUUCUGAAAAUUCAGAGUUUUCAAAUUUAGCGGAAAAAACAUCUGUAGUUUCAAGAUAACUGGACAUCUGAAUCACUUGAAAUUGCUUGAUAGCAUACGUAUUUUGAGUGGAGGUUUUAGUUUUUCCAAAGUUCAAAUAAUUGAAAAAAUUUUAAGAUGCAGAACUUUAAUUUCUUCAUUUUUCCUACCUUUAUUGGAAGCCAUAACGGAGUUUCAUGUUAUAUCAUAUUGGUCUGAGGAACUAAAACUAUAGAUAUACUGUGCAUGCAUUCAAAUUUAAUUUCCUAUUAUGGACUUUGUCAUUUGUUCCUAUAAUGAUCUUGAUGGACAUAUAGGAAACCUUGGAGGCUCAUGAUGGUGCCACCAAAGGAAAAUACACUAUUGGGCUUGGACAAGAUUGCAUGGCAUUUUGUACAGAGGUGGAAGAUGUCAUCUCUAUGAGGUUCUCAGUCAUCACUUAGUCUCCUACUUCUUUACGUACUGCAAUUUAUUCUUAAUAGUUAAUUUUGGAAAUGGAAGAAGCAGCUCCUUGUUGGGUCUGAUUUUGGCCCCAUAGCUGUUUAUGUUACAGUGGUAAAAUCACUAGGGAGAGCUCUGAGGAGUAGUGUCCCCAGCAUCUGCAAUCUAUUGGCAUUAAAAGAGGCAAAAUCCAAGGGAAAAAAGGAAUUAGGCUUUGAAGAUUCUCAUCGAUAACCAUUCUUAAUAUGCUAAGAAAUGGUUGAAAAAGAAAAAGAAAUCUUAAAUAUGUGAUCCUUCAAAUCUUUGCCCAAGGAUAGCAAAGUAUUUGAAACCAUCAAUUUUGCUUGAACUAGACAUGUUACCACAGUUUUUUAAAGCAUCAGUUUUGGUGGUUGUGAUGGCACUUUGUAUCGUUCGUUCGGCUCUUAAUUGUUUACUUGUUUGUUAAUUAAUCUGUUGAUGAUCUUAAGAGUUUUAAAAAUAGCUUCCCCUUAUACUUGUUCCUGUAUUUCAUUUGGCUUUCAGUUUGACUGCUGUUGCUUCCCUCCUUGAGAAAUAUGAGAUUGAUCCAAAGCAAAUUGGAUGGCUGGAAAUUGGCAGUGAAACCGUGAUAGACAAAAGCAAGUCCAUUAAGACCUUCCUAAUGCAAAAUUUUGAGGUAAUCCUUUUUUUUUUUUUGGAUUGAGAGUAUCCUUUUCUUUUCCUUUUGAUUUUUUUAAAAUGGUUCAAAGAUACUUCCCUCUUCGGUAUUCAAGAGUUGUCUCCUCAUAGUUGUGGACCCUUGAGGCUUAUGCUCAAGGAAUGAAGUUGGAUAACCCAUAAAUUUAAGAAUUUGACAUCAGCUAAGGGAUAUGUGGUACUAUAACUAUGGUCAUGAUAGCACCAACACUGCCUCAAAACUUGGACCUUAGUUGGCUGUGAGCAGCCUUAGGGUCAUAAAAACUCUGGGUCAGCCUAUAGAAACUAACAUUAACUUCAGUAGGUAAAAGCCUGUGAUUCCAUGGAGACUUAAGUGUCACUCAAUUAAGCAAGGAUGCAGGCAUUUGGUCUUCCACAGGUUUGCAGUCAGACUGAUUUUGAACUCCUCCUUUCUGUGUAAGAGAGAAUUUAUUGACAUGACAUGUCAUAUAUGUACCUUACAUAUUCUACAAAAUAUUUUUCUUUGCGCAUCUAUGAUACAUUGUAAUUCUUAAAUUUUUAUUUUACAAUUUUGAGAAUAUUCUACUUUACUCAUGUAAACAAACAGGAAUCUGGUAAUACUGACAUUAAAGGAGUGGAUUCAACAAAUGCAUGCUAUGGUGGGACUGCUUGUAUCAAUUGGGUGGAGAGUAGUUCAUGGGAUGGGCGUUAUGGACUUCUUGUGUGCACCGACAAUGCGGUAUGACCUCUUUCUUAAUGGGCCUGGACUUUCUUCAUUUGUUGUUUAUUUAAAAGGUUUAGUUGUUGGAAGUAGAGAAGCAAAUGGCUUCUAAAAAAGCUGGCUUUCUAUGAAAUGUCAUGGAGGGAAUUUGUAUGUGCGGCUCUGACCCCAAACAUAUUAUCAAACCCUGUAACUGGACAGUGGGGCAUGUUUUGUUUGCUAGGCCUUAUGAUGAGCCCGCCCUAGAAGAUUGUCUAUUCUUAAACUAUUAUGAUUGGAUGGUUCUUAAAAAUUUACCUUUUAAAAGAACAUGCAUUAAAAAAAGCCAAAAAGGAGGGGGUGUGCCCUACAUGUAUAGACUAUAUACACAGAAAAAAGCCAAAUCACACCUAAUACAAAGAUGAUCCACACUAAGAAACAAAGCAAAGUUAACGAAAAAAAAGAGCAUCAAGGAAAUUCAACAUAGAGGGAAAAUCCAACUCUAAAGAGUCCCUAGACCACUCAAAAAGUGUCCGAUUGAAGUGAUUCUAUAAACUUUGGUCGAAGAGCCCUUCAUCUUUGAAGGUCCUUUGAUCGUGCUCCUUUCAAAUACACCAAAAUAAGCAAAUAGGAGUCAAAAGCCAAAUUGUUAUAUUCUUCUUUUGAAGCCCCUUAACUUUCCAUUGAAGGAGGAGAUUUCUCAUUGAAUCUGAAAAUACUUAGAUCACUCCAAAAAGGGCUCUCUUGUCUAAGCACAAUGAAUCAAAAUGUGAUAAGCCAAUUCUUUACAAUCUUUACAAAGAUUACAUUUAUUGACCAUUUGUCAUCCCCUCUUUAUUAAAGUAUCUAUAGUUAAAAUCUUCCCCCAAACAGUUUCUCAAGCAAAAAAGCAAGUUUUGAGGUUUGUUUCUCAAGCAAAAAAGCAAGUUUUGAGAGGACCGCGGGAUCCCCAAACCUCCUUGCCAGCAAAUAAUCUCUUUAGUUGGUCAUUUUUUUUACAUGAAGCAUUAGUAUUGACCAAUGCCUUUCUUGAUUGUUUAUCAUUUAUUAUAUCUUUUAUGCCUUCAUUGAUUAGACACUUUUAGAGGAACAACUAUCUUGACAGAGGGAUACCACGUCUGUUGCAAAUCUGAAAAGACAAUAUACUAGUUGGAAGCAUGUGGAGGGUACUCAUUGGCAAACCUGAUUCAAUCACCUGCUUAAUUAUGGUGCAGGUAUUCUUCCCAUUAUGCUUAGAAAACCAUAAAAGGUUAUAUAUUUCUCUUAUGUUUGAUUCCCAAAAAGUACUAAUUAAAAAUAAAAUGCUAAGAAAAAUCAUUUUUUAAUGUUUGGUUUUAUUAUGAAAAAUAUAAAAAAAAAAGUCAAAUAUAAUUUAAAAUUAGUAAGAAACAUAUAUUUUAAAAUUAUUUAAUCUUUAUAUAGAAAGGUUUAAUUAAUGACAAGGGUUUGAGGUAGUAUAUAAAAAUAAUUUAUUGACUUUAAAUUUAUUUAUUUAUUUAUUUCAUCAUUUUUUUUCCUUUCCUUUUACUUUUAUUCUUUAUUUUCUUUCCCUCACAUUUUCCUUCAAACUUCCUCUUCCUCUCCCCUUCCACAGAACCCGUGAAAAAAAAUUAAGCAAGAAAUGUAUAAACAUCAUUUUUGUCCCCUAGAAUAUUGUGCAUUGACCUGGUAAGACUGUUUUUUAUUUAGUUCUGGCCAAUAACCUCCAAUGAGCAAUGACUUUAUCCCAGCAUGUGCUGGUAUUUAAAACAUUACAUGUAACCUACUUCUCACCAUUUCGACAUUAUAUAUAUGCAAUAUGGUUUGUAUUUCCCUUUUCUUAAAAAUAAACUUCAGAGUUGCAUUUAUUCGUCCAUUGCUUUUAGUAAGAUAACCCAUGUUUCGUGUGUAGGUUACUAUAGUUACUUGUAUGCCAAAUGUUUUGCUGCCACCAUAUGGCAAAAGCUAUGCCAGGAGUAUCCACUAUCCUUAGCCACAGGAACAGCUCUUCGGACAAAAUUCUUCGAGCAUGGGGGAGCCAAAGACCCUGCUGAUUUAUUGACUGAUCUAGUUGGGAUGGGAUUCUCCAGUCCCAUGAUGGAGGGAUAGUCCCUAACCUCACUAGCCUUUGUGAUGAAAUGAAGCUUGAGGAGUGUGGGCAAGAGCAUGUCGUGUCACGCCCCAAGACCCACUCCAAGGGCGUGACGGUCAUUUCACACCUCAAACCCGAAGGCUUAAAGUAUAAUUUGACCCAAACAAUCAUAUUGUAACCGGAUGUUACCAAUUACCAAAUACCUGUUCAGAGUAGCGGAACAAAAUCUAAAAUCCUCAAAAUUCAAUUUCCAAAUAACUUCCAAAUACCAAAUGAUCCAAAUGAACAUAACUAACAGUUAAACAAAAUCCAACAUAAAAUCCUAAGUCAAAUCCUAAUGAUGACCAUUCAUCAGCCUAGCCAUCACUCCUCACCCGAACUAAGAGUACCUGAAAAAUUUUCAACAAUUGGGAAUGAGCUCACAGCCCAAUAAGGAAUAUUAAUGUAGUUCAUGGAUCAAAUAUUUUCAUUUCAAAUAGGAGAUAUCAUUUUUUUUUUCUCAUCAAAUAUCAGAGUUUCAAAAAUACCAAUACAUUCAAAUUUCAACCAACCAAUUUCAUAUCAAAUUCAAACACUUUCACAUAAAAUUCAAUCAAAUCCAUUCAAGUUUCAUUACUCUGGUUAUCAAAUAUCAAAUGCCUAGUUAGUUGGGACUUUUCAAAUGGGUGGCUAGCCUCAAAUUGUUCCUAGUGGACGGAACCAAACACUACUAGUACUAGUAACCUCUAACCAAAGGCUGGGGUCCAAAUCAAUUACAUUCCCACCAUGAAAUGUAAAGGUCAACUAUUAUAUCCCAUUGACAGGGCCGAAUAGUCAACUAUUAUAUCCCGUUGACAAGGGCCAAAUAAACCAGAGUGAUGUUUUUGUUCAAGUAUUCAAAUUUACAUAACAUAAUAUCUCCAUAUUUUGUGUUAUAAAUAAAACAAAAUAUUCCAACAUAAUAUUUAGUACAAAACAGUUUGAUCCAUGCAUGGUAACAAAAUAUCAUUUUCUUUUCCACAAUUCAAAAUAACAUAUAAAAUAAUUUAAUUUUAUAAAUAUUGCAUUAACUUCCCUUACCUCAAAAGAAGUCCUCAAAAACUUUGAAGAAAAAUAAUCCUGAAAAUCUACUCUUCACCUAAUAAAACAUAAGAGGAACAAUUAUUACUAUUUACCUAAAAUUAUAGGUUUGACAAUCCUAAAAUUUUAGGUAUUCAAAUUAUUAUUUUUAAUUAUGAAAGACAAUUUAAUCUAUUCAUAAUAUAUAUUUUUUUUUUGGAGACACAACUUAAUUUAAUUAAACUAUAAUUUAUUUCACUAAUUAAUUUCUAUGUUAUUUAUUAACUUAUACUCAUCAUUAGUAUAAUUAUAAUACCAAAAAAAAACUUUACUUUCUUUUAUUUAAAACUUCUAUUCUCUCUUUUUUUUUUUUUCAAACAUAAACUUUAUCCAUUAUUGUCAAUAUAAUAAUAUAUAUACAUAUAUAUACAUUAACUACCAAACCCCAUUCAUCCCUCCAUCCGUACACACACCCACACCCCAUAUAUAUAUAUUUUCAUUCUCCAAGUGUGCACACGCGUCUUCCAGUUUUUUUUUUCUAAAAGCUUAAGAAUUUCCAAUUUCCAACAAUAAAUCAAAAUCUUAAAUUUUCACUAUUUUGAUAUUAAAACGAAAUAAUAAUAAUAACAAUAAUAAUAAUAAUAAUAAUAAUAAACUAACCCUAAUCUAAAUCGAAAUCUUCACAGAAAAUUUUUUUUUUUCUAAUAAAAAAAAACUUAAGAUCUCCCCAAUUCCAAUAAUAAAUCAAAAUCUUAAAUUUUCACUAUUUGAUAUUAAAACGAAUUAAAAAAAAUAAUCUAACCCUAAUCUAGAUUUGGGGUUUUCCAAACAAAAUAUAUCUAAUGUGCUUGAAAUUAACUAAUGAAUCUAAAAUAAUAAUCUAGGGGGUUAGAAACUUACCUAUAGAGGUUUGUUCUUCAAACCUUGAAAUCGGACCUCAACUUCACGUUCUCUAGAAACUCUCUGCGAAUAGGAAUACGAUUCAAAAAAGAACAGGAAGAAGAGAAUUUUCUAUUUAUACCUAGGGUAUUAUUCGUAAAAUUACCUUUUCACCCCUCAUCCAUUUUAUUAAAUUAAUUAAUUAAUUAAUUAAUUAAUUAAUUAAUUUAAUAUCAUUAUUAAGAAUUUCCUAAAUUACCCUUUAAAAGAAAACUUGGGCGUUACAUCCUCCAUUUCUUAACAAAAGUUUAGUCCUCUAAACUUGACAUACCUGAAUCUUGAAAGAAUUGAGGAUGCUUUUCUCUCAUCUCUUCUUCUAACUCCCAAGUGGCCUCUUGGAUACUAUGAUUGCUCCAUUGGACCUUUACCAACUUGACAACAGUAUGUCGUAGUACCUUAUCCAUCACAUCCACAAUUUGAACGGGUACCUCUUCAUAGGUCAAGUCCUCAAAAAUUUGAAUAGGCUCCAACUCCACAACAUGAGAGGGAUCAUAAAUAUACUUCCUUAGAGUCGAAACAUGAAACACAUUAUGAACCUUAGACAGGCUUGGGGGCAAGGCUACUUUAUAUACCAAAGUGCCUACUCUUUCUAAUAUUUCAAACGAACCCACAAAACAAGGACUAAGUUUUCCUUUUCUCCCAAAUCUCAUCACAGACUUCAUAGGUGAAACUUUCAAGAACACAUGAUCACCCACCUCAAACUCCAAAUCUUGCCUACGAUGAUCAGCAUAACUCUUAUGUCUACUUUGAGCUGCUUUUAAUCUUUCUUUAAUCAAAGCAACUUUUUCAACAGUCAACUGCACAAGUUCAGGCCCCAAAAGUUUCCUUUCUCCAACAUCAUUCCAACAUAUAGAAGAUCGACAUUUCCUACCAUACAAUGCCUCAAAAGGUGCCAUCCCAAUGCUAGCUUGAAAACUAUUGUUAUAGGCAAACUCUACUAAAGGUAAAUGAUCAUCCCAAUUACCUUGCAGGUCCAAAAUACAAGCUCUCAACAAGUCUUCCAAAACCUGAAUUACCCUUUCUGAUUGGCCAUCAGUUUGAGGAUGGAAAGCAGUACUAAAACUCAACUUAGUGCCCAAAGCUUUUUGUAGACUAUGCCAGAAUCUAGAAGUGAAAUGAGGAUCUCUGUCAGACACUAUAGAAACUGGUACUCCAUGCAUUCUCACAAUCUCCUUCACAUGAAGAGAAGCUAAACGAUCUAAAGAAAAGUUGACUUUCAUAGGCAAAAAGUGAGCAGACUUUGUCAACCGAUCAACAAUCACCCAAAUAGCAUUAUUACCCCCUAAGGUUCUUGGCAAUCCUAUCACAAAAUCCAUGGUAAUAUGCUCCCACUUCCACUCAGGAAUAGCAAGUGGCUGCAAAGACCCUACUGGUCGCUGAUGUUCAACCUUCACCUGUUGACACACUAAACAAUGAGCCACAAAUUGUGCAAUAUCACGCUUCAUACCUGACCACCAAUAGUUUUGCCUCAAAUCCUUGUACAUCUUUGUCCCUCCUGGGUGGAUUGCAAACUUGGAACAAUGAGCUUCCUCUAAAAGCUCUCUCCUUAAGUCUUCAUCAUUUGGGACACAAAGUCUAGUCCCAAAUCUCAAGAUCUCAUCAUCUAACAAAACAAAAUCAGGAUUACUACCUCUCUUAACUUCCUCCAUAACUUGCACUAAUUGGGAAUCAUUCUUUUGUAGGGUCUUAAUUCUCUCAACUAAGUCUGGUUGUACUCUGAAAUUUGCUACAAGUGCUCCUAAGCCCAUAACUCGAAAGUGGACUUGUAAACUCCUCAACUCUUCAAGUAACUGCCUUUGACAGCCUCUAAUAGCUGCUAGAGAACCAACUGACUUCCUACUCAAGGCAUCAGCUACAACAUUCGCCUUCCCAGGAUGAUACUGAAUAAUACAAUCAUAGUCCUUAAGUAGUUCAAUCCACCUCCUCUGUCUCAUGUUCAAUUCCUUUUGGGAAAAUAAAUACUUCAAACUCUUAUAAUCUGUGAAUAUCUCACAAGUUUCACCAAAAAGAAAAUGUCUCCAGAUCUAAAGUGCAAAAACCACAACAGCUAACUCCAAAUCAUGAGUAGGGUAGUUCCUUUCAUAAGGCUACAACUGUCUAGAAGCAUAAGCUACAACUCUCCCAUGCUACAUAAGAACACAACCUAAACCCUGAUGAGAGGCAUCACUAUACACCACAAAUCCUCUUGAACUUGAAGGGACAGUCAAAAUAGGAGCUGACACUAAUCUAUUCUUCAACUCUUGGAAGCUACAUUCAUAAUCAUCAGACCACUCAAACUUAACUCCCUUCUAUGUCAACUUAGUUAAAGGUAGGGCAAUCUUAGAGAACCCUUCUAUAAACCGCCUAUAGUAACCAGCAAGUCCCAAGAAACUUCGAAUCUCAGUCACAGUACUAGGUCUUCUCCAAUUAGCUACAGCACCUACCUUUCCAGGGUCAACUGAGAUGCCAUCAUUGCUUACCACAUGCCCAAGGAAAGAAAUUCGGUCUAACCAAAACUCACAGUUCUUCAGUUUAGCAUACAACUGCUUAUCUCUGAGGGUCUGUAAUACAAUACUCAAAUGGCCCUCAUGCUCCUCUUUACUUCUUGAGUAUACCAAGAUGUCAUCUAUAAAAACCACCACAAACUGAUCUAGAUAAGGCUUGAAUGCCCUAUUCAUUAAGUCCAUAAAAGCAGCAGGUGCAUUAGUCAAACCAAAAGGCAUAACCAAAAACUCAUAAUGCCCGUAUCUAGUUUGAAAAGCAGUCUUGGGUACAUCUUCACUUCUAACCCUUAACUGAUGAUAACCAGACCGAAGAUCAAUCUUAGAGAACACACAAGCACCUUGUAGCUGAUCAAACAAAUCAUCAAUCCGAGGAAGGGGAUACUUGUUCCUCACUAUCACCUUAUUCAACUCCCUAUAGUCAAUGCAAAGUCUCAUUGAGCCAUCCUUCUUUUUACAAAUAAAACAGGAGCUCCCCAAGGUGAAACACUGGGCUUGAUAAAACCCUUGUCUAAUAACUCCUGAAGCUGAACUUUCAACUCCUUAAGCUCCAUAGGUGCCAUCCUGUAUGGGGCCUUAGACAUAGAACCUGUUCCUGGUACCAAAUCGAUGGUGAACUCCACCUCUCUCUCUGGUGGCAAGCCAGGCAAAUCCUCUGGAAAGACAUCAGGAUACUCCCUUACUAUGGGUAUGUCUUCCAACUUCAAAUCACUUUCAUUACUCAUCACACUAGCCAAAAAUCCUUGGCAACCCUUCUUAAGCAAGCUACUAGCUCGCAAGGCUGAGAUCAUACGCAGUGGUCUGUCCACAUGCUUCCCUUCAAAGCUAAACUUAGGCUGACCAAGAAUACUAAACGUCACCCUUUUCUCAAAACAGUCAACAGAGGCAUGGUAGGAAGCUAACCAAUCCAUCCCUAAAAUCACAUCAAAAUCCUAAAGGUCAAGGAGUACUAAGUCAACUGGCAUUUCCCUAUAACCAAUCAUCACAAUACAAUUUCUAAGCAUUCUACUGGCCACAACAUAAUCUCCCACAGGAGUAGCAACAAUCAAAUCAAAGUCCAUGCUAGCAACAGGCAAACCCAACCAACCAGCAAAAGAUACUGAAACAAAAGAGUGUGUUGAUCCAGGAUCAAUCAAGACUCUAGCAAAUAAGGUGUGGAUUCGGAGAGUACCUGUCACCACAUCAGAAGUGACUUGAGCAUCUCGAUGAGUCAUAGCAAACACCUGUCCUUGGGCUUUGGGUUUCUGUUUAUCCUCCUUAUUUUCCUCUUUAGGCUUCCCAGUGAUGAACUUCCUAUUCUCUGGACAAUCUCUGAUCAAAUGUCCUUGCUUCCCACAACCAAAGCAAGCUCCAGUCUCUCUAUAGCAUGGCCUACCCCCAUGCUUCUUACCACAAGUAGGACAAGCCCCAUCUAAAUUUUGCGCUGCCUUCCCUUUAUUCUGAUUUCUUCCUAAUGUAGACCUUCGCUGUGCUUGAUUACCAUGAGCACCAUCACUCCUAUUUCGUUUCCUUUGCUGUUCCCUAUAUUGAUGAAGCUCCUCAUUAUCUUUCUCUGCUAUAAGGGCUCUGUCAAUAACCUCUGAAUAGACACCAAGCUUCAGAAUAGAUAUCUUGUUCUUCAAAUAAGGCUUCAAUCCAUCCUGAAACUUUAAUGCCUUUUCCUCCUCUGUAGCAAUCAACUGUGGGGAAAAACGUGAUAACUCUGUAAAUUUGGCCUCAUACUGAGCCACAGUCAUAUCCCCCUGUUCCAAACGAAUAAACUCUCCCACUUUCUGCCGCCUAACACUGUCAGGGAAAUACUUCUUGUAGAAAGCCUCCCUAAAUUGUCUCCAUGUUAUGGGUCCCUGAUCCUCCAAAAGUCUCCUAGUCAUACGCCACCAAUGAUCUGCCUCUUUAUUUAACAUAAAAGCUGCAUAAGAGGCUUUUUGCUCCUCAAAGCAAUCUAUUACACCAAAGAAUUUCUCCAUCUUAAGGAUCCAAGCCUCUGCCUCUGUGGGAUCUGUAGCACCAGAAAAGUAAGGAGGACCCAAUUUCUUGAAGUCAUCAAAAGAGCUACCCCUAGAAGAUGAAGACUGUCCCUGAACAUUAGUCCCAACAGCUCAAGCUUGGCGUUCAACUAAACCAGCUAGUGUCCCAAGAUACCUAUAGAUCCUUUCUGCACUCACGGGAGACAAACCCUCAACUGGAGGUACAUCAUCAUUAGGCUGACUGUUUUGUGAAGAAGUUGCUCUUCUUGGUGGCAUGAUGUCCUAAAAUAAUAAGGCAUAACUAAAUUAGUCACUAAAGAACCAAUUAGAAAAUUUACAAAUAAAGAAAGAAUUGGAAUUUAUACUAAAUGAAACUAAAACUUAAACAAAUGCGUCACUCAUCUAUCCCCAAUCUAAACCAAUUCAAAUUCCCAUCAAGAUCAAAACCUAGUGCUCUGAUACCACUCUGUCACGCCCCAAGACCCACUCCAAGGGCGUGACGGUCAUUUCACACCUCAAACCCGAAGGCUUAAAGUAUAAUCUGACCCAAACAAUCAUAUUGUAACUGGAUGUUACCAAUUACCAAAUACCUGUUCAGAGUAGCGGAACAAAAUCUAAAAUCCUCAAAAUUCAAUUUCCAAAUAACUUCCAAAUACCAAAUGAUCCAAAUGAACAUAACUAACAGUUAAACAAAAUCCAACAUAAAAUCCUAAGUCAAAUCCUAAUGAUGACCAUUCAUCAGCCUAGCCAUCACUCCUCACCCGAACUAAGAGUACCUGAAAAAUUUUCAACAAUUGGGAAUGAGCUCACAACCCAAUAAGGAAUAUUAAUGUAGUUCAUGGAUCAAAUAUUUUCAUUUCAAAUAGGAGAUAUCAUUUUUUUUUUCUCAUCAAAUAUCAGAGUUUCAAAAAUACCAAUACAUUCAAAUUUCAACCAACCAAUUUCAUAUCAAAUUCAAACACUUUCACAUAAAAUUCAAUCAAAUCCAUUCAAGUUUCAUUACUCUGGUUAUCAAAUAUCAAAUGCCCAGUUAGGUGGGACUUUUCAAAUGGGUAGCUAGCCUCAAAUUGUUCCUGGUGGACGGAACCAAACACUACUAGUACUAGUAACCUCUAACCAAACCCCUAGAAGCUGGGGUCCAAAUCAAUUACAUUCCCACCAUGAAAUGUAAAGGUCAACUAUUAUAUCCCAUUGACAGGGCCGAAUAGUCAACUAUUAUAUCCCUUUGACAAGGGCCAAAUAAACCAGAGUGAUGUUUUUGUUCAAGUAUUCAAAUUUACACAACAUAAUAUCUCCAUAUUUUGUGUCAUAAAUAAAACAAAAUAUUCCAACAUAAUAUUUAGUACAAAACAGUUUGAUCCAUGCAUGGUAACAAAAUAUCAUUUUCUUUUCCACAAUUCAAAAUAACAUAUAAAAUAAUUUAAUUUUAUAAAUAUUGCAUUAACUUCCCUUACCUCAAAAGAAGUUCUCAAAAACUUUGAAGAAAAAUAAUCCUGAAAAUCUACUCUUCACCUAAUAAAACAUAAGAGGAACAAUUAUUACUAUUUACCUAAAAUUAUAGGUUUGACAAUCCUAAAAUUUUAGGUAUUCCAAUUAUUAUUUUUAAUUAUGAAAGACAAUUUAAUCUAUUCAUAAUAAUUUUUUUUUUUUGGGACACAACUUAAUUUAAUUAAACUAUAAUUUAUUUCACUAAUUAAUUUCUAUGUUAUUUAUUAACUUAUACUCAUCAUUAGUAUAAUUAUAAUACCAAAAAAAAACUUUACUUUCUUUUAUUUAAGACUUCUAUUCUCUCUUUUUUUUUUUUUCAAACAUAAACUUUAUCCAUUAUUGUCAAUAUAAUAAUAUAUAUACAUAUAUAUACAUUAACUACCAAACCCCAUUCAUCCCUCCAUCCGUACACACACCCAAACACAUAUAUAUAUUUUCAUUCUCCAAGUGUGCACACGCGUCCUCUAUUUUUUAUUUUAUUUAUCCUUAAGCCAUUCUCCAAUUCCACAGUGUGCACAUGCGUCUUUCAGUUUUUUUUUUUUCUAAAAGCUUAAGAAUUUCCAAUUUCCAACAAUAAAUCAAAAUCUUAAAUUUUCACUAUUUUGAUAUUAAAACGAAAUAAUAAUAAUAAUAAUAAUAAUAAAAUAACCCUAAUCUAAAUCGAAAUCUUCACAGGAAUUUUUUUUUUCUAAUAAAAAAAAAACUUAAGAUCUCCCCAAUUCCAACAAUAAAUCAAAAUCUUAAAUUUUCACUAUUUGAUAUUAAAAUGAAUUAAAAAAAAUAAUCUAACCCUAAUCUAGAUUUGGGGUUUUCCAAACAAAAUAUAUCUAAUGUGCUUGAAAUUAACUAAUGAAUCUAAAAUAAUAAUCUAGGGGUUAGAAACUUACCUAUAGAAGUUUGUUCUUCAAAUCUUGAAAUCUGACCUCAACUUCACGUUCUCUAAAAACUCUCUACGAACAGGAAUACGAUUCAAAAAAGAACAGGAAGAAGAGAAUUUUCUAUUUAUACCUAGGGUAUUAUUCGUAAAAUUACCUUUUCACCCCUCAUCCAUUUUAUUAAAUUAAUUAAUUAAUUAAUUAAAUAUCAUUAUUAAGAAUUUCCUAAAUUACCCUUUAAAGAAAACUUGGGCGUUACAUGUCGUCUUGUAACCAAUUGAAACAGGUGGGAAAAAGAGAAUAACAGGAUUAGGGAGAAAGAACAGCCACUUCUGUUGGGAGAAAGCACAAAUACAAAUCUGAAGUGAGGAGCAGUUGCAGCUCGGAAAGAAGCAGGAACUGCAGAAGGUCUGCUAACAUCUUGAGUAAAUUUUUAGAAUGUAGUUUGAUUGGUAUGCUAUAUGGUAGUGGGGACAGAGCAGAGGACUGCUGCCUGCAUUUUUGGGAAAAUAUAUUACUUGGGAUUUAUUUGUUUAUUUUAUUUAUUGGCAAGCAGGUCUGAUUUUGCCAAUUGGGAACUUGUAAAGCUGAUCCUAAGUCACUGAAAAACAAAGAAGAG
rnacentral:lncRNA from 1 species